rnacentral:lncRNA from 1 species
UUGCUAGACAAGAAGUUCACUUGAUUUUAGCUAGUUUGAUCCAUCACUUUAAGUGGUCACUACCCAAUGAUGAGGAUCCAAAGCAGUUAGAUAUGAAAGAAAAGUUUGGUGUUACUCUACAGAAAGAAAAGUCUCUACUGGUUGUUCCUAUAUAAUAUGUGUAUCUUUUUUUCCCUCCCCAUAUACCAUAUGUACCUUCACUUACAGAUUGUUAUAGCAAUGGUUUGAUAGAUUGCAUUAUUUUCUAUUGUUACAUAAUGUCACAUAUAUAAUUUGAAUGAUAAACAUACGAGAAAAGUAGAGUAUAAAAUAGAGCUAUUAUAAAAAGGUAGGGUAAAAGAUAAAAUAUGAUUAUUGAAUUAAUAAUAAGUAAAGAUAAAAUAAGAAGAAAAUAUUAAGGUAACUAUGUGAUUACAUCAAAUCGGUUGAUAUGCAAAAUGAAACUUUUUGUUAUUAUCUAACAAUGCAUUUAAUGAUACGAUACAAAAAAUUUAAAUAGCAAUCAAAACAAGCAUUAUAUUUAAACUAAUAGUACAAUACAAUACAACGGGUACCAAUCAUCCAAACAAGGUAUUUUUUUAAAUGGAGGGAGUGCAAUUAGUUGCACAUUAUUUAAUUAAUAAUACAAAAUAGCUAAAGGGUCAAUUUCAAAUAUAUACAAUAUAGUAAUUAGUUUACAAUAGAUAUAGUCAUGCUUUAUUUACCUAAAAAAAUUGUUAAAAGUCAAAAAAAAAAAAAGUAAUAACACAAACUAUACAAUAUAGUUUGCAAAGUAAAAAAAAAAAAUACACAUUGACUACACAGCAUGGCUUACCUAUCAAACUAUUCAUGAAGUAUACACUAACUAUACAUAAAGUUACACUGACUAUUCAAUCUCGAUCAACUCAAAAUCACCUCUAAAUAGUUUCAAAUUUUAGAUAUGAAAUUUUCUCAAUGUUUUAAGUUUUUUGAUAUAAAAAUUCAUUCGAAAUAAUUCAUGUUUACGAUAGGCUGAAUUUUUUUAAUUUUUUUAAAAGAAUAAGAAUAAUGAAGAAGAAGAAGAACAGCAGAAAAAGAAUAAGAAUAGAAAAGACCAAUAGAAGAAGAAUGAAGAAUAGUAGAAGAAGAAGAACGUUUUUCAAACAUAUUUGGCUGAAAGGAGUCCCUUAUAAAGUGUCAUUCUUUAUAUGGAGUUUGUGGAAGCAAAGGAUCCCUAUUGGAGAAGUGCUGGUGAAGAACAGAAUGCCUGAUAAUGUGAUAUGUGUUUGUUGUAGACGGGGGGUCUCAGAGUCUAUAGAACAUUUAUUCAUACAUUGUAACUUUUCUAGUAGACUAUGGGCUAUUAUUGCAGCUGCAACAGGGAUUGAUGGUCCUUUCAUUCAAUUGAAAGACACAUUACUGAAGUGUUGGAAGGCAGAGAUGACACCCAAGCUUAAAUACAUAUACAAGACAGUACUUCUGUUCAUUUUGUGGCAAAUUUGGAAAAGAAGAAACAUUAUCAAACAUGGUGGGAAGAUGACACAAUCUACUAUGACUUUGGAGAUUGGGAGAAACUUACACCUAUGGCAAGAUGUUUAUAUCCUUGGUUGAAGGACAUAACAACUUCUUGGCUUAUGCUAGUGAAGUUCAUGGAAGAUUACACUCUUAUUCUAGUUUAUAAGGUGGUGAAAUGGAUUAAGCCUACAAUUGGUUUUAAAUGUAAUUCUGAUGGUGCUUUUAAAGGAAAUCCAGGGCCUAGUUUUGGAGCCUUUUGCAUUAGGGAUGUGGAAGGUAACUUUGUAUAUGUUGAAGUAAAGAGGCUGGAGGAAAAUAACAAUUUAAAGGCAGAGAUCAGUGCUAUCAAAAUGGGACUGGAAUUUUGCAUUGCAAAAGAAUUACUUCAUGUUACUCUUGAAACAGAUUCCCUUACUAUGAAGAAGAUGAUAGAGGGGGAAUGAGAGGUCGCAUGAAGUGUAUCAGAAAAAUAAGGUACUUAAUGAAGGAAAGAGAGAUUGUGGUUGAUCACAUUUUCAGAGAAGGCAACAAGGUUGCGGAUUUUUUAGCUAACUAUGUUUUCUAUUUUGCAGGUACACAAAGUGUUACAUUCUCAACUUUUCGGGAACUACCAAAUGAGGUGAAAGUUCUAGUAAGCAUGGAUAAAGCAGGGGCAGCAAACUUGAGAUUCAGAAAAAUACAAAACAGAAAUUAUGGUUACUGUGAUAAGAAUUCUAAUGCACAAUAAGGAAACACCAACAGUAGCUUAAGGAAAAGCACAGAGACAAGAAAACAUAAUGGGGCGCACAAAUCAUACAAAUAUGAAUCUUCAGUGCUGCAAUGAUUUACAAGAACGAUCUUUUAGCAAAAUGGAUAGGAUUUACCUGGCCUAUGCAGUGGUAUUAGUUAGUUUCUGGCUCAAUCUGCAAGAAAGGGUAAAUCUUAGAAAUGGAGUUCAAGGAUCAGAUAUCUGCUUAAUUGCGAGUUAAGAAGUAGAUCGAUUCAUACCUGCGUUGCUCAAGCUGUGUUGAAGAGUUAUUCAAUGGGAGUCGUUUCCAUGUCAUUCGUGAGAUUUAGAGUGUACUGAGUGGAAACGAUCCAAACUCAGCUAGUUGCAGCCAUAUAUGAAUCAAUUUCUCUAAAAGGAAUACGUUGCUUCUUCGUCCUCCAUGGCAGGUGAAUCUCAAGCAAGAAGAAGAUCAGUUCUAGUUUAGUUUUCCCUUUCCUUUUUUGGUUUUCUUAACUUUCUUUGAGUUGGACAGAUUGUGAAUUAUUCUAUUUAAAAAAAGAAAGAAGAAGAAAAUUGGCCAAAUUUUGUACUCCAUAAAAGUGUCGAAUGACCAUUUGCUAUUAAAAAAAGUGAAUUAUUUUUUGUAUAAAAGAAUAAAUAUAAUGGACAUUUUUGUCUAAUUUGCCUUUAGUUAAAACCUACUUUAAGUACUCUUAUUUGGUCAAAGUGAUCUCGUUACAACUGUUAGCUUCGUUUGAUUAUAAAUUUUUAAAUAUUUUUGGCAAGUUAUUUUUAGUAAAGUUUCACCCAGUGUUUAGCUUAUACCGGGGAAAAUAUUUGAUUUUUUAAGAAAAUAUAACUUAUAUCCAUAAGUUCUAAAAAUUAUUUUAAAAUAUUCAUAAGUUUGUAUUUCAUUUUAUAAUGAAAAUGUUCCGUUAAAAGCUGUGAUAACGAACAUAAUUAAUAUGAUUUUGAAAAAGGAGGAAGAAAAAAAAAGGAAAAUAUCAUUAAUUUGUAUAUAGAAAACUACUAUUACUACUUGUAAGUUGUAAUUGGAAAUGACUUCGGAGAGCAAGCUUGGAUAAAAUUUGUAUAAAAUAUGUAUAUAAUGAUAUAAAUUUUGUACAACAAAUUAGGAAUGAAAUUUAGUCCAAAACUAUAAAUGAUGAGUAUUUUUAAAAGGGAAAACUAAGCAAAUACCACAUAAAAUCAAAAUAAUUACAAAUAUAUACCCCUUUACAUUCAUACCCCACUAAAUAAUUACACUAUAUACCCACCAACUAAUUUUACUUAACUGAUAUUAAAUUAGUAUCAAAUACUAUAUUGGUAUCAUUAAGGCUGAUAAUUUCGCUUAACUGAUACUAAAUCAGUAUCAUAUAUUGUAUUGGUAUCAUUAAGGUUGAUAAUUUCGCUUAAAUGAUAUUAAAUCAAUAUCAUAUACUGUAUUGGUAUCAUUAAGGUUUCUUGUUCAGAAAUUACUUAUCAGUCAAUGCUACUAUAAGCGUAUAUAUAUAUACCAUAAAAUAUUUAGAGAUAAAUGUUAAAAACACAUCUAAACUAUCCCUUUUUUUUGAGUUUCAUAGCUAAACUAUUGAGAGUGUGAGUUUCAUACCUAAACUAUCACUUUUUAGUUUGAGAAACACACCUCAGUGGUGUGUGUAAUACACUCUCUCUUUUAUUUGAAAAAAAACUUGACACGUGGCAUUUCACAUGGAUAAAAUAUUCUACCUUGACAAAAAUUAAAUAAUAAACUAUUAAUAUUAGUUAAAAAUUAAUAAUUAAAGUCUUACUAUUCAUAAAAAAAUAAUUUUUUUAAAAAAUAAAAUUUAAAUUCCACCACCUCCUCCACGUACCCCCCCCCCCCCCCCACCCCCCCCCCCUUUUUCAAAAAAAANNNNNNNNNNNNNNNNNNNNNNNNNNNNNNNNNNNNNNNNNNNNNNNNNNNNNNNNNNNNNNNNNNNNNNNNNNNNNNNNNNNNNNNNNNNNNNNNNNNNNNNNNNNNNNNNNNNNNNNNNNNNNNNNNNNNNNNNNNNNNNNNNNNNNNNNNNNNNNNNNNNNNNNNNNNNNNNNNNNNNNNNNNNNNNNNNNNNNNNNNNNNNNNNNNNNNNNNNNNNNNNNNNNNNNNNNNNNNNNNNNNNNNNNNNNNNNNNNNNNNNNNNNNNNNNNNNNNNNNNNNNNNNNNNNNNNNNNNNNNNNNNNNNNNNNNNNNNNNNNNNNNNNNNNNNNNNNNNNNNNNNNNNNNNNNNNNNNNNNNNNNNNNNNNNNNNNNNNNNNNNNNNNNNNNNNNNNNNNNNNNNNNNNNNNNNNNNNNNNNNNNNNNNNNNNNNNNNNNNNNNNNNNNNNNNNNNNNNNNNNNNNNNNNNNNNNNNNNNNNNNNNNNNNNNNNNNNNNNNNNNNNNNNNNNNNNNNNNNNNNNNNNNNNNNNNNNNNNNNNNNNNNNNNNNNNNNNNNNNNNNNNNNNNNNNNNNNNNNNNNNNNNNNNNNNNNNNNNNNNNNNNNNNNNNNNNNNNNNNNNNNNNNNNNNNNNNNNNNNNNNNNNNNNNNNNNNNNNNNNNNNNNNNNNNNNNNNNNNNNNNNNNNNNNNNNNNNNNNNNNNNNNNNNNNNNNNNNNNNNNNNNNNNNNNNNNNNNNNNNNNNNNNNNNNNNNNNNNNNNNNNNNNNNNNNNNNNNNNNNNNNNNNNNNNNNNNNNNNNNNNNNNNNNNNNNNNNNNNNNNNNNNNNNNNNNNNNNNNNNNNNNNNNNNNNNNNNNNNNNNNNNNNNNNNNNNNNNNNNNNNNNNNNNNNNNNNNNNNNNNNNNNNNNNNNNNNNNNNNNNNNNNNNNNNNNNNNNNNNNNNNNNNNNNNNNNNNNNNNNNNNNNNNNNNNNNNNNNNNNNNNNNNNNNNNNNNNNNNNNNNNNNNNNNNNNNNNNNNNNNNNNNNNNNNNNNNNNNNNNNNNNNNNNNNNNNNNNNNNNNNNNNNNNNNNNNNNNNNNNNNNNNNNNNNNNNNNNNNNNNNNNNNNNNNNNNNNNNNNNNNNNNNNNNNNNNNNAUUACUAAUACCAUGAAUUUCUAGGUAUUAGUAAUGCAUGCAUUAGCAUUUUAAAGACACAAAUACCCUUCAAAAAUACUUUUACAUCUUUUUCACCAUAAUUAUGGAGGAUAUUUUUAUAAAUAAAUAUUUGUGUGCAAUACAUGCUAUUUUUAAUGCUACCAAACCAAACAAUGUAUAAGAAAUAAUUUAUGUACAACUAAUGCAAGUAUAACUAAUACAAGCAUUAUUAAUGCAGGUAUUUCUUAUACACUCUAUUGAGCAUUAUUUUUAUACACUCUAUCAAACGACUCCUGCAUGUAUUAGUUAUGUUUGCAUUAAUUAUACAUAGAUUAUUUUAAUGCAUUGUUUGGUUUAAUGCAUUAAAAAUAGUAUGUAUUGCAUUAAAAAGAUUAUUUACAAAGAUACCCUCCACUUUAUCGUGGAAAAGAUGUAAAAAAGGUUUUGAGGGACAAUUGAGUCUUUUGUCAUGUUAAUGCAUGCAUUGAAAUCAGUGCAUUGCUAAUACCUAGAAAUUCAUGGUAUUAGUAAUGCACACCUUAAUACACAAUAGAGUGUUUAAUUUAUGCAAGCAUUAUUUAUAGUAAUACACAAAGCUAAUGCAUGCAUGUAUUCACGACAUACACUCUACGUGUAUUAGCCAGAAGCUAAAAUACAAAAAAAUAGUCUUUUUACUUAUUCUUUAAUCUAUUCAUUUUCUUAAUAUAACAUAUAAAUAUCUUCAUCACUUCUCUCACAUCUCCACCAUAUAACAAAACUGAAUCUCAUACAUUUAACUAAUGUGAGACUUUAAUAUUGAACAAUAAUUUAUCACCAAAUUUAUAUAUAAUAAUAAAGCUAGAAAUAGAAAUUAUUACUUUAUGUUUUAUUAAUACCCUGUUUGGUAUUUUUUUCCAACCUAUUUAUAACUAAUGUAAACAUUAGUUAUACACUCUAUUGUGUAUUAAAGUGUGUAUUACACUAUUACUAAUAUCAUGGAUUCUAGGUAUUAGUAAUGCAAUGGUUUAAUGCAUGCAUUAGCAUGGUUAAAGACCCAAUUUCCCCUUAAAACUUUUUUUUUACAUCUUUUCCACCAUAAUUGUGAAGAGUAUCUUUGUAAAUAAUUUUUUUAUGCAAUACAUGUUAUUUUUAAUGCACCUAAUUAAACAAUGCAUAAAAAUAAUCUAUCUAUAAUUGAUACAAGCAUUACUAAUUAGUACAAGCAUUAUUAAUCAAACAUUAUUAAUAUACUCUAUUUAGCAUUAUAUUUAUAUACUCUACUAACGACUCCUCAUAACUACUUAUCCACCCCAUAGAAGCUGGUUGCGAAAAAAGAAAGGAAACUACAAAAACAUGAAAUAUUUAAUAAUUUCUUAAAAUAAAUGCACUCUAGCUCCGUCCCGUAUUGAUUUGUUACAUGUACAGUGGUGAGACUGAGACUGUUUCAUUCUUAAUCAGAUGUAUUGGCUUUGAAUCCUAGAUAUAGAGAAAAAUUUGUUGAAAGUGUCACCCCAAAUGGACCCUGCAAUGAGCAAAUCAAAUUUAACCAAAACUCUAAUGCGAAUUCUGAAUCAAGUGAAAAAAAUAAUAAUACUGUCAACGAUGCUUAUUCCUUAUGAAAUGGGGGCAUUAUUUUCUUUUUUUAAAUGAGCAAUCUAUUUUAAAUGAGAAAAAUAAUGUUAAACGUGAGUUUGACCUGUUCACUUAACAGUUCUUAGCUUUCUUUUCUUCAAAUUAUUUAUAGGCUUGCCAAUUAAGAAUUAAGGAGAUUAAGCGCUACAAAAAUAUUGUGUGUUUUUUUUUAAUUCGUCUGAACUCUAUUGAGCAUAUUAUAUACAUACAAUAUUCGCACUAGCCGGAAGUAGCGAAUACAAGCAAAAUUAUCAGCGCUUUUUUAAAAAUAUUUUUUUAGAAAAGUGCUUUUUCAAAAAAGUAAAUACUCUUUCUAUCUUUCAUUUUACACGCAUAUUAAAAAAUUAUAAAUAAGAAAAUAAUUUUAUUACUUCAUUUCUAAAAAGAAAUUUAAUUGAUGUUUUCUUAAUUUAGUAAGUUAAACAACUAGUCCAUUUGCCUGUUUUACUUGUCCAUUUUUCUUUUUUAAGUUAUUCUUAAUUAUUUGUCCAUUUAGACAAAUCAAGAAAGGGCAAAUUUGUUUUACCUAUUAUACCCUUAAUUAAUUACUUUGAAAAUGUAGAAUUUUUUGAAUGUUUUAAGUUUUAAUUCAUCCACUUCACAAUUGAUAACGAUAAAUUGAUAAACUACUAUGUCAAUAAUUGUUUUCUUAAUAGGCGUGCUAAUUUUAAAAAUUGACAAGUAAUUAGGGAUAGAAAGAGUAUUUUCUUCAAAAGUAAAAUAAUCAACUAAUUUGAAAAAUGAGUGUUUAGUUCGGCGUGAUUAAGCCGUGGAAGAAAAUCACAUGCCGGGAUUUUGGAAAUAUCUUUAAGUUUCUUAAAGUUAUUUAGGAAGAAAAGUAAACUAUAUUUAGAUGGAUGAGUAAGAGCCUCUUUGGAUUGAUUUAAAAAUAGCUUAAAGUUAAAAAUUAAAGGUCAAAUUGAAAUGACUUUUAAGUCAAAAAAUAAAAAGUAGGGAGCGUGGGGUGGGGUGGGCUACUUUUAGUUUUUAACUUAUUUUUAAGUUCUUUUUUUCUUCGCCAAACACUUUCAGAAAAUCAAAUAUUGACUUAAAAGUAGAUUUGACAAAGUUUUAAACCAAACCACACCCUCUAAGUCAACUUGAAUUAUUUGUAUAAUAUUCUCUUGUUCAAUAUAUACAAUAAACAAAAUAUUAAAAACGUGACUGGAUAUUAAUUAAAUAAAAAUUAAUCAAUAUAUCCUUUUUGGUUCUUCUAAAAUAUAUAGAUAAUUAUUAUUUGGAAUUUAAAAAUACUUGAAAACUUUAUAACUAUUAUUUUUUAAUAAAAAGGGGUAAUUCUAAUAAUAAAAAUAAUGAAUAAUAUAUUUAUAUCAAAAGUAACAAGUAAAAAUAAGAAUUAAUUUAAGAAAAAGUGACAAAUAAAAAUCAACUAAGGGAGUAUUUAGGAAGAAAAGUCAACUAUAUUUAGAUGGACAUGUAAGUCAACUUGAAUUAUUUGUAUACUCCAUCUGUCUCAUUUAUUUCUUGGGAUACUUUUUGGAUUUAAAUAAGUUUAUAUUUGAUCGUAAGUUUUCAUAGAUCUUGUAAUUUUUUUGAAUUAUCACACUUAUAGUAGUUUUUACAUAGUUUACAAAUAUAUAUAUAUAAAAAAAUUAAAGAUUUCAUGCGUAAAUUUCCAAUCAAACUUAAAUUGCUUGACUCCCAAAAAAUGAAAAGUAUCACAUAAAUUGGAAGUUUGGGACAGAGGGAGUAAUAUUCUCUAGCUCAACAUAAGUAAUAAAUAAAUUAUUAAAAACGUGACAAGAUAUUAAUUAAAUUGUAAUUAAUCAAUAUAUUCUUUUUGACUCUUCUAGAAGAUAUAGAUAAUUAUUAUUUGGAAUUUAAAUACUCGAAAACAUUUUUCUUUUUUAAUAAAGGCUAAUUCUAGUAAAAAAAUAAUAGUGAUGAAUAAUAAUUUUUAAUUUUUUUUUAAAAUCAUUUAUUUUGGACUAUAAAUAUUCUUUUUAUACCCUAAAACUCUCGUCAUUUUGCUCUCUUACACUUUGUUUGGAUAAUUGUUACACAUAGCUUCAUAAUGUAUCGGAUUGUAUUGUUUUAAUGAAUACAUUAUUUGGAUAGAUUGUAUCGUUCUCUAUCAUCACAUAGUGUCACAAUUGCAUAAUUUGAAUGAUACUGAGUAGAGCUAAAUAACAUAUUUUGGUAACAACGCGGUCACAUCAAAUCGGUCGUUACAUAAAAUGAAAUCUUUUCGUCGUUAUCUAACAAUAAAUUUAACCGUACAAUAUAAUAGAAUUUAAAUAACAAUUAAAAUAAACAUCGUAUUUAAACUAACAAUACAAUGACAAAGGUAAGCGUUAAUGACUUUACAAUACGUAUAUAUGGGUAUGGCAAUAGGCAAUCUUCUCAUCAUACUUGCAUGUUUUUAUUUGGUAUGUUAUGUCAAUGGAGUACUAUACGCUGCUAGCAUCCCUACUUUUCUUGAUUCCAUUCUUCUUCCUCAUCGUUAAACAACUCGUACAAAAAUCUCAAAACCUUCCACCAGGUCCUCGACCAUGGCCUGUGUUAGGAAAUAUUCUCCAAAUGGGGAAAAACCCUCAUAUUUCCCUGGCACAAUUUGCCAAAAUGUAUGGCCCAUUGAUUUCAGUCAAGUUGGGAACUCAACUGGUUGUGGUAGCUUCAUCCCCUGCUUCUGCUGCUGAAAUCCUCAAGACUCAAGAUCGUCUGCUAUCGGUCCGAUAUGUGCCCAAAGUUGCUACAUAUGAGCUCUCUGUUAUUGAUCAACACUCAAUUGUAUUUUCCAGUGAUUUGAGCAAUCAUUGGAAGUUCUUGCGGGCAUUUUGUCGAACACAUUUGUUCUCACCCAAAGCUGUCGAGUCACAGACUGCUCUGAGGGAGAAAAAAGUGUGGGAAAUGAUAGAUUUUCUUGGGUCUAGGAAAGGGGAAACUGUGAAGAUUUCUGAAAUUCUGUUUGGUACCAUUUUAAACACGUUAGGGAACCUUUUCUUUUCAAAAGAUUUAUGUCAUUUGGAUUAUGAAAGAAACACCAGUGAGAUCAAACGUAUUUUUAGAUAUUUUAUAGAAUUGGGAGCUAUGCCAAAUAUAGCAGAUUUCUAUCCUCUAUUUGAGGCUCUGGAUCUGCAGGGAUUGAGAAAGCAGACGGAAAUAUAUCAGAGUCAAUUGACCAACAUCUGGAGUGAAAUUGUAAAGGAAAAAAGGCAGGCAACUAGCCGUCAUAGCUCGGAUUUUUUGGAUGUCAUGAUGGAUAGUGGAUUCUCAGAUUUACAGAUCAAUAUCUUAGUGACAGUAAUAUCUCAAUUUUUUAGAACCAAUAUACUCUGAUUUCAAAUAGAUGUGAAAUUUUUAGGCAAAACUAAUUGAGGCUGACAUGAGACAAUCUUGUUCUUGAAUUUCAGGAAUUAAUGGGUGCGGUUCUGACACCACAACCUCAACAAUUGAAUGGGCAAUGACAGAGUUGCUGAGGAACAAGGGUGCUAUGCACAGACUUCAGGCUGAGCUUACAAGUAAAUUCAGGGAAAAUGAUAUAAUCACAGAAUCAAACAUCAGUGAACUUCCAUAUUUGGCUGCUAUUGUCAAGGAGACAUUGAGAAUCCAUUCGCCUACUCCCUUCUUGAUUCCUCGUCAUGCUCCUGAGACGUGUAAGAUUAUGAAUUACACCAUCCCAAAGAACUCGAAGUUGUUUGUGAAUGCUUACGCAAUAGGGCGUGACUCCAACAUAUGGGAAGAUGCAUUAUCUUUCAGGCCAGAGCGAUUUCUUGAUUCCAAGGUGGACUUCUGGGGUCAAGAUUUUGAGUUCAUACCAUUUGGUGCAGGGCGGAGAAUAUGUCCUGGCUUAGGUUUUGCUAAACAAGAAAUUCACUUGAUUUUAGCUAGUUUGAUCCAUUACUUUGAGUGGUCACUUCCUAAUGCUGAGGAUCCAAUGCAGUUAGAUAUGGAAGAAAAGUUUGGUGUUACUCUACAGAAAGAAAAGCCACUACUCAUUGUCCCUAUGUAAUGUGUAUAUCUUUUUUGUUCUCCACAUGCAACAUGUAGUACCUUCACUUACAAAUAAAAACUAUACUAUUAUGUUCCAAAGCUAUCUUACUUUUUAGAAUGGAAUUAGUUUUUGCAUUGUUGUGAUAGGGGUAUGGGUAGGGUAAGAAAAAAAAUUAAAGAAUGAAGUAGAGUUUCAGAAAUGUUUUCCUCAAUUUUUUUAAGGGAAGUCAUUUUCCUUAAAUUUGAGAAAAAUGAGAUGAUUUGGAAAACAUUUUUCAAAACAUGGAAAAAAUGGCCAUACCAAACACACCAUUUAUUUAUCAAUAUUUUCAUAAAUUGACAACUCUGUUGGUAAGGUGAGAAAAGAUAAAUGGUUUUUGGAUUCUUCAUUACGAAAAUUAUUGGUGAGGUGAUUCAGUACACACAUGUAUAUACAAAAAAAUAGUCUUUUUACAUUUUCUUUAAUCUAUUCAUUUUCUUAAUAUAACAUAUAAAUAUCUUGAUCACUUCUCUCACAUAUCCACCAUAUAACGAAACUGAAUCUCAUACAUUUAACUAAUGUGAGACUUUAAUAUUGAACAAUAGUUUUUCGCCAAAUUUAUAUAUAAUAAUAAAGCUAGAAAUAGAAAUUAUUACUUUAUGUUUUAUUAAUACCUUGUUUGGUAUUUUUUUCUAACCUAUUUAUAACUAAUAUAAACAUUAGUUAUACACUCUAUUGUGUAUUAAAGUGUGUAUUACACUAUUACUAAUAUCAUGGAUUCUAGGUAUUAGUAAUGCAGUGGUUUUAAUGCAUGCAUUAGCAUGGUUAAAGACCCAAUUGCCCCUUUAAACUUUUUUUUUUUUUACAUCUUUUCCACCAUAAUUGUGAAGAGUAUCUUUGUAAAUAAUUUUUUUUAUGCAAUACAUGUUAUUUUUAAUGCACCUAAUUAAACAAUGCAUAAAAAUAAUCUAUCUAUAAUUGAUACAACCAUUACUAAUUCAUACAAGCAUUAUUAAUCAAACAUUACUAAUAUACUCUAUUUAGCAUUAUAUUUAUAUACUCUACUAACGACUCCUCAUAACUACUCAUUCGCCCCAUAGAAGCUGGUUGCGAAAAAAGAAAGGAAACUGCAAAACUGUGAAAUAUUUAAUAAUUUCUUAAAAUAAAUGCUCUAGCUCCGUCCCGUAUUGGUUUGUUACAUGUAUAGUGGUGAAACUGAGACUGUUUCAUUCUUAAUCAAAUGUAUUGGCUUUGAAUCCUAGAUAUAGAGAAAAAAUUGUUGAAAGUGUCACCCCAAAUGGACCCUGCAAUGCACAAAUCAAAUUUAACCAAAACUCUAAUGCGAUAACCGAGUGAAAAAAAAAAUACUGUCAACGAUGCUUAUUCCUUAUGAAAUGGGGCAUUAUUUCUUUUUAAAUGAGCAAUCUAUUUAAAAUGAGAAAAAUAAUGUUAAACGUGAGUUUGACCUGUUCACUUUAACAGCUCUUAUCUUUCUUUUCUUCAAAUUAUUUAUAGGUUUGCCAAUUAAGAAUUAAGGAGAUUAAGCCCUACAAAAAUAUUGUGUGUGUUUUUUUUUAAUUCGUCUGAACUCUAUUGAAUAUAUUAUAUACAUACAAUAUUCGCACUAGCCGAAAAUAGCGAAUACAAGCAAAAUUAUCAGCGCUUUUUUUAAAAAACAAAAAUUAGAAAAAUGUUUUUUCAAAAAAGUAAAUACUCUUUCUGUCUUUCAUUUUACACGCAUAUUAAAAAAUUAUAAAUAAGAAAAUAAUUUUAUUAAUUCAUUUCUAAAAAGAAAUUAGAAAUUUUACAAAUAAAUGUGAAUUUUAAAAAAUAAAUAAAUGUAGAGGUAAUACAGGUAAAUUUUAGUUGAUGUUUUCUUAAUUUAGUAAGUUAAACAACUAGUCCAUUUGUCCCUAAUUACUUGUCCACUUUUCUUUUUAAGUUAUUCUUAAUUAUUUGUCCAUUUAGACAAAUCAAGAAAGGAAUUUGUUUUAUCUAUUAUACCCUUAAUUAAUGAAAAUGUAGAAUUUUUUGAAUGUUUUAAGUUUUAAUUCAUCCAUUUCAUAAUUAAUAAGGAUAAAUUGAUAAACUUACUAUGUCAAUAAUUGUUUUCUUAAUAGGUGUACCAAUUUUAAAAAUAGACAAGUAAUUAGAGAUAGAAAGAGUAUUUUCUUCAAAAGUAAAAUAAUCAACUACUAUGAAAAAUGAGUAUUUAGUUCGGCGUGAUUAAGCCGUGGAAGAAAAUUACAUGCCGGGAUUUUGGAAAUAUCUUUAAGUUUCUUAAAGUUAUUUAGGAAGAAAAGUAAACUACAUUUAGAUGGAUGAGUAAGAGCCUCCUUGGAUUGAUUUAAAAAAUAGCUUAAAGUUAAAAUUAAAGGUCAAAUUGAAAUGACUUUUAAGUUAAAAAAUAAAAAGUAUGGGGAGGCCAACUUUUAGUUUUUUUAACUUAUUAUAAGUUCUUUUUUUUCUUCGCCAAACACUUCUAGAAAAUCAAAUAUUGAUUUAAAAGUAGAUUUGACAAACUUUUAAACCAAACCACACCCUCUAAGUCAACUUGAAUUAUUUGUAUAAUAUUCUCUUGUUCAAUAUAAACAAUAAACAAAAUAUUAAAAAACGUGACUGGAUAUUAAUUAAAUAAAAAUUAAUCAAUAUAUUCUUUUUGAUUCUUCUAAAAAAUAUAGAUAAUUAUUAUUUGGAAUUUAAAAAUACUUGAAAACUUAAUAAUUUUUUUUUUAAAAAAAAGGGUAAUUCUAAUAAAAAAAUAAUGAAUAAUACAUUUUUAUUUUUUUAAGAAAAUCAUUCAUGAACUAUAAGAAAAGUGUUAAUAAAGUCGGUAUAAUAUUCUUUUUUUACCUUGAAAACUCUCGUCUUUUUGCUCCCUUACACUUUGUUUUAGAUGAUUGUACUGAAAAAUCGUAUUGUAAUGUUUCAAAAAUACAUUGUUUGAAUAGAUUGUAUCGGUCUCUAUCGUAAGAUAAUGUAACAUAUCCAUAAUUUGAAUGAUAAACCUACAAAAAAAAGAUAAUGAAUAGAGCUACUAUGAAAAGAUAGGGAUAAAAGAUGAAAUAUGACUACUAAAUAAUAACAAAAUGCAAAGAAAGUAUUUUGGUAACAAUGCGGUUACACCAAAUGGAUCGUUAUAUAAAAUGAAUAUUUUCGUCAUUAGCUAAGAAUGAAUUUUAUUGAUACAAUACAAUUUAAUACAAUACAAGUCAACCAUUAAUGACUUAAACUACUAUACUUAUAUAUGGGUAUGGCAAUAGACAAUCUUCUCAUCAUAAUUGCAUGUGUUAUUUGGUAUGUUAUUGACCGCUGUAAAGCUGUCUUGUUAGGUUGAAAAGGGGUAAUGAAUGAAUAAACUCAUCAUAAGGAUUAUUUGUGUGUCUUCAUAAAAAAUGGGGAAAAUAUUAUAUUCUUGGUGUUUUGAUGAUCCUCACAAAUGCAGGGACCUGGUCCUUAGAAGAGUACCUCCGUCCAGAUUAAAAGUGGUGCACAGCUGUAAAGCUAUCUUUACAGCUGUUUUGUCAGGUUGGUUGGUUGGUGAGAUGUGUAGCGUACUUCACCAAUCGGAAAGACGAACGGAGUUGUUUGUUUAAUUGGUCAAAACCCAUGUUGGUAACUGAUAUAUACAACAAUAAGCAAACAACAUUAUUCAUUCAAGAAGAGAGAAAACUAGCAAGUCUUUUUCAAGAACUCAAGCAACAAAGAACGCAGCAAGGGACCUGGUCCCGAAAAGUCUGCGUACGAGAAAAGGACGAAAAGACAGUUGUCUAAAAGUUGCCAACUCUGAUGUGGUUGGUGCACAACUUUUCAUGACAGCAGGCUCCCAGCCAAUAGCCUCAUCCCAAGGGUUUGUGUCCACUUUGAUAUAGUCUCUUCUCCAAAACACAAACUCAAGAUUUUUGGCAAACAAAAACUCACAGGCUUCAAAAGAAAAAGCCAUCUUUAAGGAAGAACAAUACUCUUACUCAACAAAAGCAUCUGAUAAAGUGUUGAAGCAUCUUUGUUGAGUUUGAGUUUUGUGUCUAUCAUUUUAUAGGAUUUUGCAUCUUGAAAAUUCUCAAGCAUACAAGCAAAGAUCAUCUUGGUGAAGUAUUCUCUGGCAAGCACAACAAGGACCUGAUCGAUCUGCAAGCGUCAGAGUGUGUCUUAGGAGUUAUACUUAUGUGCUUAUAUUGUAAAUUUGUUCCUAAUCUAUAAAGGAUUCAGAUCUUUUGUUUCGGUUUCUAAAAGUCUAAGUCAGUUAAGGUUGACUGGUUUAGUGGGAAACAUUGUUGUUGCUUAGUCAAAGUCUAAAUCGUCCAGAGGGUGGUGGUUUAGUGGCAACCUGUGUGUUGCUUAGUUGAAGUCUAAGUUGUCUAGUGGUGAUAGCUUAGUGGGAAGUGUGGUAUCUGCUUAGGCUCUUCAAGUAAUAGAGUUAUUACUUGGUUGUGAGAUUAAUAACUUCUACUCACGUUGGCUGUAACUGUGGUUCACUUUUUUUUAAAGAAGAUUAGUGUAACAAUUGAAAAUCCUAUGAGACAGGUCGUGGUUUUACUCCCUUGAGCAAGGAGGUUUCCACAUAAAAUCCUUGUGCAGAUUUUACCUUAAGCUAUUUACUUUAUGCACUUAUUUAAGCUAAUGUUCUUGCUGAGUCAAGGGACCUGGUCCAUUAACGUAUAAUGGAUGCUGACUAAUGCAUGUGCUUACAUUCUGUUCUUACUAUGUCAAGGAACUUGGUUCAUUGACUCUUAGUGGACGCUUAUAUUCUAUCAAUUGGUAUCAGAGCAGGUGCUUUCUAGCUGGUUAACACUAAGAGAGAUUCAUGUGGAAAGAUGGUUGCUCUACUGAACAGAAAUCAAGAAACGUCAAAGAAGGAGUUGAAGAAAGACAAGUCUCUAGCUCUCAAGGUGAUAUCUGGUGAACCUUUUGAUGAAGAUGAGGACAUGACAUACCUCACGAGAAGGUUUCAAAAGUUAGUGAGGAAACAUAGAGGUUUACAAAGGCAGGAAACUCAAACAUAGCUGCAAAUACAAACUACCUAUGCCACAAGUGUGGAAUGCCCCAUGCAUAAGGUUGAAGCCAAAGAGUAUUAAAGACCUGGAGGAGAGAAAGACAGAAAAAGGGACCCAGUCCCCGAUAAGAAAGUAAGAAAAGUUGUAGCUAACUACGUUGUGAAGAAAGCUUUUACUGUCUGGGGAGACUCCUCAAGUGAGUCAAAAGAAUCAAAAUGUCCCGAAGAUGCAUCCAUGCUAACUGUCAAAGACGAUAAUAAUGUGUUUGAUGUCAUGUUCGCAUUCAUGGCAAAAUUUGACGACGAGGAAGAUGAAGAAAAGGUAACUCUCUUUAACCUUAAACAAAACUUGAAUACUUACUCUGUUAGGAAGUUGAGAAAUCUAGUUAUUGUUCUGAUUGACUCCAUUACAGAGUUAACUACAGAAAAAGACUCUAUGAACAACAGUUUAGACAAUUUUAAUAAAGUGAAGUUAGCCUUGACUGAUCAUGUCUCUGUUAUCGAGGAACAAUUGACUGUUCUAGAGACUGAAAAUCUAGAAAUUAAGGAGAAAUUGAAGAUGCUGAGUGAGAAAUCUGGCAAAGGGAAAUGAGAGGCUAGUAGUUUGCAAAUAGAGCUAGAAGCUAGUCUGAACACUGUUGAAACCAGACCUGCAUUGGCCUUGGAAAGAAAUGAUCAAAUGGGUUCCCAAGGAUAUUAAGUGAUAUGGUAUGCAGGUGAGAGAAAGUAACAUCAGUCAAUGUUGAUUCAUGAAUGACGGAUGCUCAAAGCACGUGACUGGUAAACUGAAAACUUCCUCUCUCUCAAGGCACUUCAAGGUGGAGGUGUCUCUUUUGGUAGGGGCAAGAAAUGGUACUUGUUUUUGUAAAGGCGGGACUUGAAAGUCUAUGGAACACUCUUUCGAAGUUGUGUACUAUGUCAAUGGGUUGAAGUACAGUCCUCUAAGUGUUUCACAGAUCUCUGAUAAAGAAGUCAAGUUCCUAUUAGACAAAUAUGAGGUCACAACUUGAUCUCUCAGAUGAUAAUGUUGACAAAAAGGGAGAUGGAAGAACAUGUAUUGCUGAUCUCAACACCGCUUGUAACAUUCUCACUUCUCUUGAUGCUCAAGAUGACAAUGUUUGUGAUGCUUGUGUUAAAGAGAAGCAGGUCAGACCAUCCUUCAAGCGGAAUAAGCAGUAUUUUAAUCUUCCAAAGAACUUUUGGGCUGAAGUGGUGAAUACUACAUGUCUUGUGACCUAAAGGGUGAUAUUGGGAAGUUUGAUCAAAAUAAUGAUAAAAGAGUGUUUGUGGAAUGUUCUUCCUCCAGCAAGGCUUAUCCGGUAUAUAAAAAAUGUGUGGAUUGAAAAAGAUGUUCAUGUGAUUUUUUAUGAGUCUGGAAGAAUUGAGAAGCAAGUUGAAAAACAAAGAAGAUUCUGAGAUGGAAGAGAUGUUAUAGAUUUAGAAAGAUGACCUAAACGAUGAGCUUGCUGAAGAACGUCCUCUUCAUAAAUCCAGCAAUCCUAAAGAAGAUGAUGCAGAUGAUGAACCUGAUGAGGGACCUGGUUUGGUAGACAAUGCUGAACAAAGAUGAUGCAGUUCAAAGUAUGACACUCAGUUCCUGGACAACCUGACAGGAAAAACAUUGAUGAUUAUUCAAGUAUAUAUCGAUGAUAUCAUCUGUGAAGCAAUUUUUGAGAUGUUAUGUGAAGAGGUUGCCGCACUCAUGGGUAGUAAGUUAUAAUUGAGCAUGAUAGGAGAUGUCUUCGUAAAGGUACAUAUCAAUCAAACCUCUAAAGCUUUUCAAAAUGGAAGAUCAAAUGGCUGACAUCUUCACCAAAGCCCUAAGCAAGGACCAACUUGUCCAGAACAGGGACCUGGUUCAAGCUCAGAGAAGCUACUGAAGAAGUUUCAUAUUAUGGAUGCCAAGUCAACUGAUACUCCAAUGGGGACCAACUCGAAGUUGGGUGCUGAUGGAUCCGGUCCAGAUGUAAAAGAUACAAGUGUUAGGAUUUAUGCAACAUUCCAAGUUUUUCAGCAAAAUCACAUUUGAAGGCUUCUAAGAGAAUCCUAAGACUUUUGAUGAAGACAGGGACCUGGUUAUACUCUACCCAUCGGGAGAUUUUGUGUUGAUUGAAGGAAGAUGGUGACACUGAUUAUGAUGGGUAUCAAGCUGAUAGAAAGAGCAUGAAUGACUCAUUUUAUGGGCUCAUAUCUCAUUCAUGGGGAAUAAAAGGCAAUAUUUUGUUGCUCUUUCAACAAUUGAGGCAAGGUAUGUAGCAGAUGCAUGUUGGUGUACUCAACUCAUAUGGAUCAAACAACAACGUGAAGUUCUUAGAGUGGUUACUCUGACUAUCCGUCUCCUGUAUGCUAUCACGAAUGCUCCCACUAUGGCUAAGAACUCAGUCCACCAUAAAAAGGACUAAGCAUAUUGAUGUGAGACAUCACUUUCUGAAGGAUCAUGUUGAGAAAGGAAAUAUCAGCUUGUAAUUCUGUAAGAUCAAAUCAAUGAUAUCUUCACAAAAGCUCUGACGAGGGACCUGGUCAAGAUAAACAAAUUGAAUUUGGGAAUGUUGAAACUGAACUGAAUGGAUCCUGCCUGAAGCAAUCAACUCUCUCAUGACUAUGCAAAGGGAGCAGGUAUCCUUGCUUUUCAGUUAUGUAUGUUUUAGCAAAUUCAGUCUCAUACCUUUUGCAGGUAUACACACAUGGCAAAAGGGGUGAAGGAAAAGGGAGGUCAGGACAGAUCUAGGCAAUCACAUUCAACCUACAAAGAGGGACCUGGUCCGUUCUCGAAUGUUAGGACUCUUAACAUUGCAUUUUGAAUUAUGCAUGAAAACCGUUGCAAUUGCCACAUGUCUGAUCAUUGUGCCAUCUUUUGAAUACCAAGAUGGCACUUGCUUCCACAUGAUAUACUCUUCCACUUCCUUUGUACUCCAAUUUCUUUCCAUCUCUCCAGAAAAUUCAAAUUCCCUUCCUAUAAUUAGAAAAUUUCAACACUGUUUUUUCUCUUCUCUCAAGAACCUUCAAAAUGUUUAAACCGUUGUUCUUACUGGAGAACUUUCUGAUAAAGAAAUUUUUGAGUGUGAAGAGGGACCAGGUUUAUCAAGCAAAAAUAAGAAUGUGAAAAGAUGAUGUUCAAAAGGAAAAUGUUGACAUUCUAAGAACUCAAAGUAUUAUGAAUAGAAUGGUGUCUGAUUUUUAAAAAAAAUGAUGAUGAAAUAAAAUUGUAAUGGUUCCUCAAUUAUUGAUCUAUUCAUCUAGAAGGCUUUGAGUAAGUUUAAUCUUGCUAAUCCUUCUGUCAUGAGAAACUCAAGCUUGAUAUGAAAUCUAUGACAGCUGCUCUUGCUAACAGGGAUACUAAAAUAGUUUGUUUGAAGGCUUGGCUUCUGGAGGAACAAUCAGAGGGACCAGGUUGGAAAAAAAAAAGGGCACCCCUGAAGGUUGGCAGCAAAGCAUGCUGAACUUUAAGAGAAGCUUCUAAAAACCAUGAUAAGGGAUGUGUUCUACUAAUUCUAUUCUUUCCAUCCCUUGCUCCUAAGUCAUCCCCUCUCUCCCUAAAUUCCCAUGUCAGUCCUCAUUCCCCUUUUAUAUCGAAAACUCAGUGGGUAUUGCCUUGGUUCUCAUUCAUAAUGAAGUCUGCAAUUCUUCGAUGGCUGAUCUUUUAUUUGUGAAUGAAAAAUGUCUUGUUUCUACUGAUUUGUCUCAUUACUUUAUGCAUUUUUACUCAUGCUCAGUGUUGCCCAAGUGGCCAUGAAUUGGCUUGAACUACAUUUUUGGCAACUUUGUUACUACUUUAACCCUUUUUUAUGAUGUCAAAAGAGGGGAGAUUGCUAGGGUAUGAGAUCAAUGAUGGUAAUCAAUGAUGACAUAGUGAUCAAUGAUGACAUGGUCAUGUCGAUAGGGGGAAGAAGUGCUACUUAAAGAGGAUAUGGUCAUGCCAAUAGGGGGAAGAAGUUGAAAAAGUUUGUCAUCAUCAAAAAGGGGGAAAAUGCUAUUUUGUUAUUGAUGUGAAGUUUUGAUGAUUUGACAUACUUCGGGAAUGAUGCAAAAAGGGGACCACUCCAGUUACCUCAAGAGGCAUGCUGAUAGGGGGAACUGCUGAAAGGGGGAAGAAGACUUAGGGAUCUAACAAGGGACCAGAUCCUUGUUAUUGGGACUGACAACAGGGCAAAUAAAUGAAUAAACUCAGUGUGAGGAAUAUUUGUGUGUUAUUAUCAAAAAGGGGGAAAAUGUUAUAUUCUAGGUGCUUUGAUGAUCUUCACAAAUGCAAAGACUAACAAGGGACCAGAUCCAGGAAAUGGUCCUCUGGUAUUGAGACUGAUGAAAGGGGUAAUGAAUGAAUAAACUCAUCAUAAGUAUUAUUUGUGUGUCUUCAUCAAAAAGGGGGAAAAUGUUAUAUUCUAGGUGUUUUGACGAUCCUCACAAAAGCAGGGACCUGGUCCCUGGAAGAGUACCUCUGUCCAGAUUAAAAGUGGUGCACAGCUGUAAAGCUAUCUUUACAGUUGUCUUGUCAGGUUGAAAAGGGGUAAUGAAUGAAUAAACUCAUCAUAAGGAUUAUUUGUGUGUCUUCAUAAAAAACGGGGGAAAUGUUAUAUUCUUAGUGUUUUGAUGAUCCUCACAAAUGCAGGGACCUGGUCCUUAGAAGAGUACCUCCGUCUAGAUUAAAAGUAGUUCACAGUUGUAAAGCUAUCUUUACAGUUGUUUUGUCAGGUUGGUUGGUGAGAUGUGUAGCGUACUUCACCAAUAGGAGAGGAGGACAGAGUUGUUUCUUUAAGUGGUCAAAACCUGUGUUGGUAACUGAUAUAUACAACAAUAAACAAAUAACAUUAUUCAUUCAAGAAGAGAGAAAGCUAGCAAGUCUUUUUCAAGAACUCAAGCAGCAAAUAACGCAGCAAGGGACCUGGUACCUGAAAGUCUGCGUAAGAGAAAAGGACGAAAAGAUAGUCGUCAAAAGCUGCCAACUCUGAUGUGGUUGGUGCACAUCUUUUCAUGACAGCAGGCUCUCAGCCAAUAGCCUCGUCCCAAGGGUUUGUGUCCACUUUGAUAUAGUCUCUUCUCCAAAACACAAACUCAAGAUUUUUGGCAAACAAAAACUCACAAGCUUAAAAAGAAAAAUCUAUAUUCAAGGAAGAACAAUACUCUUACUCAAUAAAAGGAUCUGAUAAAGUGUUGAAGCAUCUUUGUUGAGUUUGAGUUUUGUGUCUAUCAUUUUAUAGGUUUUUGCAUCUUGAAAAUUUUCAAGCAUACAAGCAAAGACCAUCUUGGUGAAGUAUUCUCCGGCAAGCACAACAAGGACCUAAUUGAGCUGCAAACGUCAGAGUGUGUCUUAGGAGUUAUACUUCCGUGCUUAUAUUGUAAAUUUGUUCCUAAUCUAUAAAGGAUUCAGAUCUUUUGUUUCGGUUUUUAAAAGUCUAAGACAGUUAAGGUUGACUGGUUUAGUGGGAAACAUUGUUGUUGCUUAGUCAAAGUCUAAAGUGUCCAGAGGGUGGUGGUUUAGUGGGCAGCCUGUGUGUUGCUUAGUUGAAGUCUAAGUUGUCCAGUGGUGAUAGCUUAGUGGGAAGUGUGGUAUCUGUUUAGGCUCUUCAAGUAAUAGAGUUACUAUGUGGUUGUGAGAUUAAUAACUUUUUCUCACAUUGGUUGUAACUGUGGUUCACUUUUUCUUAAAGAAGAUUAGUGAAACAGUUGAAAAUCAUGUGAGACAGGUCGUGGUUUUACUGUCACGACCCGAGUCUACACCCUGGACGUGGCCGGUACUCAAGAACCAUUGCUGGUUCCCAAGCGAACCCUCAUUUUGGCUGACUACAAGCGGAAGACUAACUUAAGCAUGCAAAAGCUUAAAACUAUAUAAAAUUCAACAAACACAACUUUUCAAAACUUUAACUCAAAUGAACAACUUAGAAUAAAAUAAUAUAUUCAACUCGCCAUGAAAUAGGCAACUUAAGUCUUUAAACAUUUAAUAAAAUAAAUGAGUAAUACAGACUUCUCAACUAUACUGANNNNNNNNNNNNNNNNNNNNNNNNNNNNNNNNNNNNNNNNNNNNNNNNNNNNNNNNNNNNNNNNNNNNNNNNNNNNNNNNNNNNNNNNNNNNNNNNNNNNNNNNNNNNNNNNNNNNNNNNNNNNNNNNNNNNNNNNNNNNNNNNNNNNNNNNNNNNNNNNNNNNNNNNNNNNNNNNNNNNNNNNNNNNNNNNNNNNNNNNNNNNNNNNNNNNNNNNNNNNNNNNNNNNNNNNNNNNNNNNNNNNNNNNNNNNNNNNNNNNNNNNNNNNNNNNNNNNNNNNNNNNNNNNNNNNNNNNNNNNNNNNNNNNNNNNNNNNNNNNNNNNNNNNNNNNNNNNNNNNNNNNNNNNNNNNNNNNNNNNNNNNNNNNNNNNNNNNNNNNNNNNNNNNUUUGUGGGAGUUUCUCUAACCGACAACCAUCACAUAAGAGCUAUUGUGAUGAUACAACGAUCUCCCUCACGCUGCCAGCGCAUCCUAUACCUUGCCACAGGUAUAGGACCUAAACUACUAAGUGGAGCAACUAGUCUAUGCGUAAAAGAUUCAUCUAAAAAGUAUGACGCUUUUCUACUCAUGAUGGCUACAUGGUUUAUGGGGGCAAUGAGUUAUCUGAACUCUCCCCCAUAUCGGUGCUCAAUACUACUCCCAAAAUAUNNNNNNNNNNNNNNNNNNNNNNNNNNNNNNNNNNNNNNNNNNNNNNNNNNNNNNNNNNNNNNNNNNNNNNNNNNNNNNNNNNNNNNNNNNNNNNNNNNNNNNNNNNNNNNNNNNNNNNNNNNNNNNNNNNNNNNNNNNNNNNNNNNNNNNNNNNNNNNNNNNNNNNNNNNNNNNNNNNNNNNNNNNNNNNNNNNNNNNNNNNNNNNNNNNNNNNNNNNNNNNNNNNNNNNNNNNNNNNNNNNNNNNNNNNNNNNNNNNNNNNNNNNNNNNNNNNNNNNNNNNNNNNNNNNNNNNNNNNNNNNNNNNNNNNNNNNNNNNNNNNNNNNNNNNNNNNNNNNNNNNNNNNNNNNNNNNNNNNNNNNNNNNNNNNNNNNNNNNNNNNNNNNNNNNNNNNNNNNNNNNNNNNNNNNNNNNNNNNNNNNNNNNNNNNNNNNNNNNNNNNNNNNNNNNNNNNNNNNNNNNNNNNNNNNNNNNNNNNNNNAAGACUGCUCGACUUAUAGGGUUCAUGCGGAAUUAUGGGCAUGAACAAUUCAACUCAAAGAUUUCAUGGGUAACAUGUAAUAGUCCCAUGAUUAGAAAUAUAAUCUCAAAGGGGAUUAGGAACUCAAUAAUCAAGACUUAGAACUAGGAGAUACUACUCUUCUCAAUGAUACUCAAUUUAUGGAAUUCAUGCGGAAGUAAUGGGCAUGAACGACUCGACUCAAGGGUCUAAAUAUCAAUAAGGAACUCAUGUAUACGACUCUUCUCAUUCUCAUACUUACUUUUUCAGAACCUAGUUCAAAUCGAUAGUUGAUCUCAAAUGAUUCACAAAUGAACACAAAGCUUUGCUUGAACUCUACUCUUAACUCUCUCUUGAAUGUAAAUUAUGAAUUCAAAAGUUAUGGUUCAUGAUAUGAAAGGUCUCAUGAUGACAAAGUAGACUCAUGAAUACAUUCUUCUCAUCUUCAUACUCACUUGCUCGAGUCUUGAAACAAGUUACUUAAAUUUGUAGAAGGUUCUUCAAAGAAAACUCAAAGGGACUAUCUCAAAUGUUUGGAGGAACUCUCAAGGCUUAACUCUUAACACUACCUUGAAUUUGGAUUUAUGGAUUCAAGGUUAUGAUUCAUGUUCAUGGAGGAUUUGCAGAUGUUUAGAAGUCAUUUAGAGUAGUUAGAAUCAAUGAAAAAUGUUAGGACACUUUAGAAUAACUUAAAUAGGCUAAAUGAUGAAAAACUAGUGAAAAACACCGAUCCAGGCCCCAAUUUACUGGGGCUCUUUUUCGGCGCACUGCUGGCACGUCACCCCAGCCUUCCUGGCGCAACGGGGGCGCGUCGCGCCAGCAUUGCCCCAGGCAAAACUAACGAAUUCUUCCUCUCGUUUUCUGACCUUAAAUCACUUUUAAUCAAUUUCUUUUCUCAAGUUUUCCUUAGAUUCAAUUACCCAACAUAUGUACACACUAAUCCACUCAAAACAAUCACUUUCAUCUCAAGAAAUCAUCAAAACCCAACAAAACAAGAUUUAGGAUGAACUUCAAGAACACCUAUCAAGAACUUAAAUCCUUCAACUUUUUGAUAAUGAAACUUCGCUGAAAAUAAUAUGUUUGGCAUGUGGGUGAACAAACUCAACACUAUGGAAGCUUACAUACCUCUUAGGGAUUAAACCCAUGGCGAAAAUCCGCAACAAAACGCAUGACUCUCGAUGAACGGUUUGAUCCUCUCCUCUUUACUCCUCUUUACUCCUCUUUUCUCUUAUUUUCUCUUCUUGAACUCUCAACUAAAACCCUAGGCGUAUAUUAGGAUUAUAAAACUGAACCUAAUCUGAUUAGAGCCCUAAAUUAUUACUAAAAAUGAAUUAAAUCUGAUUGGGUAAGGAAAAGACCAAAAUACCCCUCUAAAAUCAGAUUUUGACUUUCCUUAUCUAGACAGCCCAACUUUGAAUGGACAUAUCUCCCACAUACGUUAUCAAAACUGAGCAAGCUCGGUGGCGUUGGAAAGAUAAUUCAAAGAUCUGACCUACGGUAUCUGGUAUCCCACCUGAAUCAUCAUGAGCUAGAAGUUAUGGUCAUUUGAAGUCAACCCAAAACUCAUACUUAGCUUAACUUGCAAAAUUUCAGAUUUUGCUAUUUCCAAUUUAGUCCUUUUUGGAACUCAAGGUGCUACAUCUAGUGACCAGACCUUAAUACUUAAGAAAUUUUAAAUUCCUUCGUAAAAUCCUACUCACAACGACAAAUGGUUCGAGUCUUAGCUCAAAAAAAUUUCUGGGGUGUUACAUUUACUCCCUUUAGCAAGGAGGUUUCCACGUAAAAUCCUUGUGCAAAUUUUACCUUCAGCUAUUUACUUUCUGCACUUACUUCAGCUACUGUUCUUGCCGAGUCAAGGGACCUGGUCCAUUGACGUAUAGUGGAUGCUGACUACUGCAUGUGCUUACAUUCUGUUCUUACUGUGUCAAGGGACCUAGUCCAUUGACUCUUAGUGGACGCCUAUAUUAUAUCAGUUGUCAAUGGAGUAUUAUACGCUGCCAGCAUCCUUUCUUUUCUUGAUUCCAUUCUUCUUCCUCAUCAUUAAACAACUCAUACAAAAAUCUCAAAACCUUCCACCAGGUCCUCGACCAUGGCUUGUGUUAGGAAAUAUUCUCCAAAUAGGGAAAACCCCUCAUAUUUCCCUGGCACAAUUUGCCAAAAUGUAUGGCCCAUUGAUUUCUAUCAAGUUGGGAACUCAACUGGUUGUGGUAGCUUCAUCUCCUGCUUCUGCAACUGAAAUCCUCAAGACACAAGAUCGUCUGUUAUCGGUCCGAUCUGUGCCCAAAGUUGCUACAUAUGUGCUCUCUGUUAUUGAUCAACACUCAAUUGUCUUUUCCAGUGACUUGAGCAAUCACUGGAAGUUCUUGCGGGAAUUUUGUCGAACACAUUUGUUCUCACCCAAAGCUGUCGAGUCACAGACUGCUCUGAGGGAGAAAAAAGUGUCGAAAAUGAUACAUUUUCUUAGGUCUAGGAAUGGGGAAACUGUGAAGAUUUCUGAAAUUCUGUUUGGUACCAUUUUAAACACGUUAGGGAACCUUUUUCUUUUCAAAAGAUUUAUGUGAUUUGAAUUAUGAAACGAACACUAGUGGGAUCAAACAUGUUUUUAGAAAAUUUAUUGAAUUGGGAGCUAUGCCGAAUAUAUCAGAAUUAUAUCCUUUAUUUGAGGCUCUAGAUUUGCAGGGAUUGAGAAAGCAGAUUCAAGUAUAUCAGAAUCAAUUGAUCAACAUCUGGAGUGAAAUUGUAAAGGAAAAAAGGCAGGCAAUUAGUCAUGGUAGCUCAGACAUUUUCGAUGCCAUGAUUGAUAGUGGAUUUUUGGAUUUACAGAUCAAUAUCUUAUUGACAGUAAUUUCUUCAUCACCUUUGAAUCAAUUUCUUAAAACUAAUAGACAAAUUUGAUGAAAUAGGUGUGAGUUUUCUUUUUAAAAGAUGAUUGAGACGGACAUGACACAAUCUUGUUCUUCAAUUUCAGGAAUUAAUAGGCGUGGGUUAUGACACCACUACCGCAACAACUGAAUGGGCAAUGACAAAAUUGCUAAGGAACAAGGGCACUAUGCACAAACUUCAGGCCGAGCUUACAAGUAAAUUUGGGGAAAAUGAUAUUAUCACAGAAUCAAACAUCAGCGAACUUCCAUAUUUGGUUGUUUGUGUCAAGGAGACAUUGAGAUUCCAUUCGCCUACUCCCUUCUUGAUUCCUCGUCGUGCACCUUAGACGUGUAAGAUUAUGGAUUACACCAUUCCAAAGAACUCAAAAUUGUUUGUGAACACUUGGGCAAUAGGGCGUAACUCAAACAGUUUGGGAAGAUGCAUUAUCUUUAAAGCCCGAGCAAUUUCUAGACUCUAAUGAGGACUUCAGGGGUCAAGAUUUUGGGAUCAUACCAUUUGGUGCAGGGAGGACAAUAUGCCCUGGCUUAGGUUUUGCUAGACAAGAAAUUCACUUGAUUUUAACUAGCUUGAUCCAUUACUUUGAGUGGUCAGUUCCUAAUGGUAAGGAUCCAAUGCAGUUAGAUAUGGAAGACAAGUUUGGUGUUACUCUACAUAAAGAAAAGCCUCUACUCAUUGUUCCUAUGUAAUACAGUUAGUUAUAGAAGACAAGUUUGGUGUUACUCUACAUAAAGAAAAGCCUCUACUCAUUGUUCCUAUGUAAUAUGAGUAUUUUUUUUUUAGUCUAUAUCCAAGAUAUAAUGUCACUGGGAGUACAAAAUAAAUGAUUUAUUGUGCGACAAGUAAAAUCAGAAAAAUAUUAAGUAUAACUUGUGUCUUUAGGGUAUAAAGAUUUUUCGCAAAAGUCGUGACAGUAUUGUUUGGAGAUGUGUUCUCCUAUGGUGGAUGCAAUGAAAUUUCUUUUAGUUUGAUAAUAUAUGAAAACCUUGAAUAAGAUAAUAAAUGAUUAUUAUGUGUAGCUAGACAGUACAUAUUAUAUGAAAAUCCUUGAAUGAUUUAAAAUGUUAUAAAGUUAUUCCAUUAAAUUGUACCCCUAUGAUUGUGAGAUCGUUUUAUAUAAAGAAAGAUUAGUUUCAGUCACGUUAGAAUGAAACAAAAAUAUCAUUUUAGUGCAAUUGGUGCACUUAUGUAUCAUGAAAAUAUUAGAGUGAAACAAAUAUUGAUACAAAUUAUUUGUUAAUAUUUGUUUUGAUCAAUCAUGUCAAGGUUUAUUGAUUAUGAAAUAGUAGGUGAUUCAAAUGAAAUUUGAUCUCAAGAAAGUUGUAUGUCUUUAUGUGGAAAUAUUGUCAUGUCAAAUCAUUCCACAAGACAAUCAAUUUUAUAUAUCGAAAUAGUUCAUCUUCCUCACUGAACUUUUUUUUAUUUUAUAUAAAUAUCGAAAUUGCAUAAAUAGUUAUGUUAUAUAUACAUUCAUAUAUAUUGUUUAUAUAAUAUUUAUAUAUCGAAAUAGUUUAUCUUCCUCAACAAACUAAUUUUUUUUAUUUAGAUCCCUGACUAUUCAAAUUUCUUUUAAACUGUUACAAAUUUUAGAGAUGAGCUCCUAUUAAUAUUUUGAAUUUUUUGAUAUAAUAUUCACUCAAAAUAAUUCACAUUUACGACUUGUCUGAGUUUUAAAAUUUGUGUUAAGCGCUGAAUAUACAAAGAAUUGUUUGCUUGACUAUUAUUAAUACAAUAAAACAAAAUAGCAGUAGUGUAAAUGUUGUUAAUGAGCUUAUAAAGAGAUUUUUCGCUUAUAACCACUCAAAAAUAACUUAAUUAUGUUUCAUAGCUAUAGUUUGCUAAUUACGAUUCGUAGCUACAUGUUAGAGGGAGGAGAUAUGCGAGCGAGAUUGGAAGAGGGAGGAGAGAGGCGAAUUGUAUAUGUAUAUAUGUUGAACUAUAUAUGUAUACAUGUCAAAUAAUUGUAUAUAUGUAACUGAUAUACAUAUAUAUUUGUAUAUUUGGCAAGUAGGAUUGGGAGAGGGAAGAGAGAGGCGAGCGAGAUUGGGAGAGAGAGGAGUGACGCGAGCAAGAGGGCAGAGAGAGCCUAAUUGUAUUUGUAUAUCUGUCAUAUAAUUAUAUAUAUAUAUAUAAUUUGAACUUGUAUAUGUAUAAAAGAGGAGAGAGGCGAGAGAGACGAGAGAGAUAACAUAAUUAUAGCUAAAAUUAAGCUAUGAGCCGUAAUUAAUUCAACCAUUGCUAUAUUAGUUAAUUAACUAAUAUAUGUUUGCUUAUCCGUGUAAUUUUCCCAAAAAUAAUACUAUAAGAGAAGUUGACUGUUUUUUUCUAAAAAAGGUAGGUGAAAUCCUAUAUGGCGGCUAGUGAGUACGACAACUUGGAAUAUCUUGGUGUUAUAUAUGUCUAUUGACCAAUUAUGAAAUAUCUUCUCAUUAUACUUGUGUUGAUUUAAUGGAGUAUUAUAUGCUGCCAGCAUCCUUUCUUAUCUUCAUUCCAUUAUUGUUUCUCAUAGUUAAACAACUCAUACCAAAAUCUGGAAAUCUUCCACCAGGUCCUCGACCAUGGCCUGUGUUAGGAAAUAUUCUCCAAAUGGGGAAAAACCCUCAUAUUUCACUGGCAAAAUUUGCCCAAAUUCAUGGGCAAUUGAUUUCUGUCAAGCUGGGAACUCAACUGGUUGUGGUAGCUUCAUCCCCUCAUUCUGCAGCUGAAAUCCUUAAGACUCAAGAUCGUCUUCUCUCAGCCCGGUUUCCACCCAGUGUUGCUCCAUAUGAACUCUCUGUUAUUGAUCAACACUCAAUUGUCUUUUCAAGUGAUUUGAGCAAUCACUGGAAGUUCUUGCGGGCAUUUUGUCGAACACAUUUGUUCUCACCCAAAGCGGUAGAGUCACAGGCUGCUCUGAGGGAGAAAAAAGUAUCGGAAAUGAUACAUUUUCUUACGUCUAGGAAAGGGGAAACUGUGAAGAUUUCUGAAAUUCUGUUUGGUACCAUUUUAAACACGUUAGGGAACCUUUUCUUUUCAAAAGAUUUAUGUCAUUUGGAUUAUGAAAGAAACACCAGUGAGAUCAAACGUGUUUUUAGAAAAAUUUUAUAGAAUUGGGAGCUAUGCCAAAUAUAUCAGAUUUCUAUCCUCUAUUUGAGGCUCUGGAUCUGCAGGGAUUGAGAAAGCAGACAGAAAUAUAUCAGAGUCAAUUGAUCAACAUCUGGAGUGAAAUUGUCAAGGAAAAAAGGCAGGCAAUUAGCCGUCAUAGCUCGGAUUUUUUGGAUGUCAUGAUUGAUAGUGGAUUCUCAGAUUUACAGAUCAAUAUCUUAGUGACAGUAAUUUCUCAAUUUUUUUAGAACCAAUAUACUCUGGUUUCAAAUAGGAGAGUUCGAGAGUUGAUUUCUCAGACGGUCACUCAAUUAAUAGUUAUUGUGUCAAAAUGUCAAGAGGAAAGAUAACUAUUAGUUGAGUGACAAUCUGAGACAUCAACCCGACAAAAUUUGAUGAAGUGAAUGUGAAAUUUUUAGUCAAAAUUAAUUGUGGCUGACAUGACACAAUCUUGUUCUUCAAUUUCAGGAAUUAAUUUCUGCGGGUUCUGACACCACAACCUCAACAAUUGAAUGGGCAAUGGCAGAGUUGCUAAGGAACAAGGGUGCUAUGCACAAACUUCAGGCUGAGCUUACAAGUAAAUUCAGGGAAAAUGAUAUAAUCACAGAAUCAAACAUCAGUGAACUUCCAUAUUUGGCUGCUUGUGUCAAGGAGACAUUGAGACUCCAUUCGCCUACUCCCUUCUUGAUUCCUCGUCGUGCUCCUGAGACGUGUAAGAUUAUGAAUUAUACCAUCCAAAGAACUCGAAGUUGUUUGUGAAUGCUUACGCAAUAGGGCGUGACUCCAACACAUGGGAAGAUGCAUUAUCUUUCAGGCCAGAGCGAUUUCUUGACUCCAAGGUGGACUUCAGGGGUCAAGAUUUUGAGUUCAUACCAUUUGGCGCAGGGAGGAGAAUAUGCCCUGGCUUAGGUUUUGCUAGACAAGAAAUUCACUUGAUUUUAGCUAGUUUGAUCCAUUACUUUGAGUGGUCACUUCCUAAUGGUGAGGAUCCAAUGCAGUUAGAUAUGGAAGAAAAGUUUGGUGUUACUCUACAGAAAGAAAAGCCUCUACUCAUUGUCCCUAUGUAAUGUGUAUAUCUUUUUUGUUCUCCAUAUGCAACAUGUACCUUCACUUGCAAAUAAAAACUAUACUAUUAUGUUCCAAAGCUAUCUUAUUUUUUAGAAUGGAAUUAGUUUUUGCAUUGUUAUGAUAGAAUGGUUGGUGAUUGUUGGUGAUCAAUAUGGUGAUGAUUCGGUCGUGAAAUAAUUGUUUCGGGUGUAUGUUAUUCCUAUGUCAGGUGUGGAUGUUACUAAUUAUGAAAUGAGUGUAUUUCUGGUAUAUUUGGAAUGUAUAUAUGGUGUAUUUUAUUUGAUUGUAUGCCGUAUGAAUUACUGGACUUGCGUGUCGGUUUGAUAGAAUGUUUAAGAAUACUAUUUAAUAGCGUGUAUUAGUUAUCCGAAUUUGGUGGACUAUAUACGAUUUGAUAGGCUCGAUCUGAAAGUAUUAUGCUAGAGUUUGUGGGAAGAAAGAAGAAAGAAAGUAUCUCCAAAAUCUCUUAAAAUUUGAUUUCUAGUUUUUGAAAAUUAUAGGCUGCCAAUCGUUAUAAUUGCCUAUUAACUGAGUUUGGAGAAACACUAAUCACUUUCUGGGCUAGUAAUAUUGGGCCUCAUAACUAAACUAAGCAAUUCCAUUAGUGUAGUUUUUCUUUGUUUUUGGGGAACUUUCACAAAUUUGUCACUAUAAUAAAUUUAAUUAUGCUUCAUAGCUAUAGUUUGCAUAUUUACGGGUUGUAGCUACAAUUUAAGCUGUCUCGUUUGUAUAAUUUGCAAAUUUGUAUAAUUCGCAGGUACAUUUGUAUAAUUUAGUUAUUUUUGUAUAAACUUGAAAUAAUGAAUUUAUACAAUUACAAAAAUCAUAAGUGUAAACAGUUAUACAAAUUAUAUUAUACAAAUUCUGAAUUAUACAAAAGUUAUACAAAUUAUAUUAUGCAAAUUCCAAAUAAUACAAACGUGCGAAUUAUACAAAACUAAAAAGCUGAGCCGCGUAAUUAUAGCUAAAAGCAGGUCGCGAAUUGUAAUUAAGGCAAACUAUAGCUAUGUUAUCUAAUUAACUAGUAUAUAUUUGUUUAUACACGUAAUUUUCCCUUUCUUGUUUUUUACCAAGUAAAAAUUUGACACAUAUAUAUCACUUGAUGACUCAAUUAUGAUCAAAUUGACUCCAUAUUCAUCUUAGCCUAUUUUGUAGGAAAAAUUAAAAAUUGAUGAACAUUUUGUCAACUGCCACUAGAGAUGUUCCGUUUGGCCUCAAGAAUACUUGGAAAAAAUUUGGGGAAAAAAUUAAAAAGUGGUGUUUAAUUUGGUCAUAUAACUUAGCAAAUAUAUUUGUCAAGUAUUUCAAGUUUCCAAAUACUAGAAAAAACUAGUAUUUGGGCCAACUUCUAAUAUUUGGGAAUUUUAAAAAAUUAAAAAAAUUACCCCAAAUUUCUAUAUUUUAUUAAAAAAUACCCGUCAUUUAUUAAGUCCAACUAAUAUUUGUUACUACCUCCUCCGAAAAAGUUUGAGUUCUAAUUUAAGUGAUAAAAUUGAGAAAAAAGAACAAUUUGUUUUGAUGGGUUAUAAUUAUAACCGAAUCAAUAACAAGUUUGAAUAUGUGAUUAAUGUAUUGCUCUUGCAUAUAUUGUUAUUUUGUUGUUGUUGAUUGUUAUCAAUUAUGUUAUAAGGUUAUUUUUUAACUGAACAUAUUCAGUUAUUCACUAUGAAUAGAUAAUACAAAUUUAUGGGUAUCUUUAAUAGUUUUAGAAUUUAUGUGUAUAAAUCAUAUUUUUUAAAAUAGUAAAAUAUUCUUGAAAAAACUUGGAGCCAAAUACAUGUUGUAAUUUAACCAAAAACUAGGAUGAAAUAUUAUUUGGAAACUUGGAGCCGAACGCUAGCGUAAUCGAGUUCGCUUACCUCACUAAUGAGCUUUGGCGAUAUAAAGCUUUAAUAUAUUAUUGCAUAUAAUUUUCUUGAGUCGACGAUUAAUGUAUAUCCUUUUUUAUAUAAGAACAAAAAAUGCUGGAGAAAAUAUUUGUAUUUUAUAUCAAUUGUAUUCAAUUAAAUAUAAGUGAGAGAUUUGUGUUUUAUAUCAAUUGCAUUCGAAAACUGUAUUUGUAUUUUUGUAUCAAUUGUACGUGUAUUCAUACGAAUACAAUAUGCAUUCAUCUUCUUAGUCAAAUAUAUUCAAUAUCAAUUGUAUUCAAUCAAAGAGCGGAUGAAUACAAUUGUAUUCGUUGUAUUUCAAAUACAAUUGACACAAAAUACAAAAUAGUUGUGCACUAAAUAAAUUCAAAAUAUAAUGCAAAAUACAAUUCUCUCACCUCUCUCUGUCGAUCUCGCUCGUCUCUCCUCCUAAUAUGUACUCAUUUUGAUACAUAUCAAUUUGUAUUUAUAUUUUUUUCCUCCAAAAUCUGCAAAAUAUAAAAAUACAAAUGUAUAGCAAAAUCAAACUAUUGUUGCGAGUUCUAAUUAGUGAAACUGUAGCUAUGGAUUCCUAUUUAAGGGAUAAUGUUUGUUGUUUUUGAAAGUUUUCAAUUUAUUAUUUUUGAGUUAUGAACAAGAGCUUGAAGAAAAAUAAUUUAUUUAUAAUAUCAUAAAUCUCUGAAUAAUUUCAAUAACUCUCCACUACAAGAAACUAGAUAGAAAGUGAAAAACCUAUUCCUAUAUAAAUUUGACGAGAAAAUGGUCAAAUGACCCCCUAAUCUAUAUGCAGAUUUUCAACUACACACUUCAAUUUUAUAGGGGUCCUAUUACCCCAUUAAACUGUUUAAAAUUGAAAUUAUUACACUCUUAAAAUACCACAACCAUAUCUAUGUUGACGGGUGAAACUCACGCAUUUGACACGUGGAAUAUUAUAAAAAACUUUUUUUAUAAAAAAAUUAAUCUUUCUCCUUUUUGAUUUAUUGUUUUAAAUUACAGUUAAAGGUCAUAACAUGAAAGUUUAUGGAUGUAUUUUGAUCUUCAAAUUUGAAACUAGUUGAUGAUGACAUUGUUGGUUGCUAAUUUUUCAAGCUAAAAACACUAAGUUUGAGUUUUUGACUAAGUUUAUUGCUGCAAUUUUUAGAUUUGAAGAACAUUGAAACUCCAUGAAUACCGACGAGCUUUUAUAUGAAAUUUUUAGAUCUAUUUUCUGGAUUGGGAACAACAUUAGCUGGUGUUUUGAAGAGUUUCAUAUGGCAAAAAACGGAAGCUCAUGGUUUAAAAUGUGAACAACCAACUUAAAACCUCCAUUAAAGUUGGUUCAAAAGGCCUGGGUUCAAAUUCGACUUGUCACAAACAAGUAUCGUUUAGAAUGGGUAAUAUAUAAAAAAAAAUCAAAAUGUCGAAAAAAGCUUAUAUCUAAAAUUUUGCUUGAUUUAAAGAAGUUUUAAGGCGAUUUUGCAUCAAUUAUUCAGAGCAACGGGAUGAAGAAGAUGAAGAAUGGCGCUGCAUUUUCAGAUUUGCAGGAAUUUGUCUAGUUGUUAAAAUCAGUUGAAUUUUUUUUUCCAUAGAUCUGUUGGAUAUUGAAUAUAGGAUUAGAAAUUUCCUUAGUAUUACAAUUUCUUAAAGAAAAUUAGUUGAGUGUCACUAUAUUAAGCGUAUUCAAGCUUGAAUUUUGCUUUGAUUUGGAAGAUUUUUGGUGCAUAGUUCUUGAUUGUGGAGAGUGAUGGAUGAAAUUGCUAUAUACGAUUUGUGGUGCAUCGAUUGACAUAGUGAAGAGGGAAGACGAUUGUUUCAAGAUGGUGAGGGGUGAUGAAAUUCAAUGGCGGCCAGUUGCUGGGAGGAAGAAAACAAAUUAAAAAUGAGAUAAGAAUAAUUAAGAAAAAAGAGGAAAAAAUUAAAAAAUAUGAAAAGAAACAUUAAAAUAAAAAUCUAAUUUUUUUUUUUGCUUUGCCAGAUAAGCAUCUAGGGAGGUAAUAAUUUUAAUUGUAAACAGUUCAAGUGGGUAAUAGGACUCCCAUGAACUUAAAGUGUGUAGUUGGAAAUUCGAAUAUAGAUUAGGGAGAUUUUUGACCAUUUUCUCUAAAUUUGACUAUAAGUUCUAUUUAAACAUGAAUUAGAUAAACUAAAACAAGUAUCAAAUCCUAUACAAAAUUAUAUAUAUUCCCUAGUACAACUAUAUGAAUUAGUCUUUCAACAAAUUAAAAUUCUUAAUUCCUAGUACAUCUUUGAAUAAGAGCUUCAUUACUCAUACUAAAAUCUUAAUCAAUAAUACAUAUAGUAUAAUAGGAGGGACAUUUUAGGCUGGCUGCCAAUUGCAAUGGAACUAGCUAGUUCAAAAUAGAUGCAGCUAGAAAACAAUAGGAGUAGUCAUCAUCAUCAAUUAAAGCCUCCCCCAAUAGUUUUCUCCAUUCUCUAGCAAUCUAUUUUAGUUUCUCCCCCAUUUUGUUUGAUUCCUUGACAAUGACUGACAUUUUAUGUGGAAGCCAAGAGGCAAACUAAUGUUUAGGAAAUGCAUGUAUAUAUGUCCAUAGAGCUUGAAGCCUACCCUAACAAAAACAAACGAUUUAGCAGCAAUAAUAUAAUUGUCGCUAUAUUAUAUUUAGUGGCAAUAAUUAAUAUGAGUAUUUAUAACCAACACACUCUAUAUAAAUGUCGCUAAAGACUUUGAAAAGACUCUGAAUGUAGUGACAUCAACUCAAUUGUCAAAAUUUAUUACCGCUAAAUGUUUCGUGGUUAUAGUGCUAUUCAAGUACAAACACGUUUUCUUUCAUUAGCUACAUAUAUUUUCUUGAAUUUAUUGUAUCCGGAGAAUUUUUUUUGAGUAUACAAGAUCGAUCAGAAUUAAUAAUCUUAAGACAAUUGGUAGGUUAGUUCAAAUAAUGUUAAAUAAAAUUCAUUGGAUAUAUUCCCUAGGUGUACCUCCCACGAGAUAUUAUGCUUCAAUCUAUUAUUAGAUCAUGUGCAAACGUCUCACAAUGGGAAGUUGAUAAGAAAGAUUUUUUUUUUACAUACUAUCAGAUAUAGCGAUAUAUUAAUCGUUUGAAAUUAUUUUUGGAGAGAACUAUAAUGGCUAUGCCUAAAUCAUAGCUAAAACUUAUAGCAAUCUAGGUUGAGAAUUUUUUCUUAUAUAUGAUUCAAUAAAGUUAAAAAUUUAAGACAGAUAUAUUAUUACAUGAUAUUCCUAUUUCUAUUUUAGGAUUAGUUCAAUGUUCUCAUUUAAUAAUUUCCACUCAUAUUCAAAAGAAAAAAAUAAUAAUUAACAACUGGCACUAGCACACAGCUGCAUGAAUAUAACUAUGCACAUGCACUAACAUAUAGCUAUUCUAUAAAAAGUUAACUCAAGACUAAAUGCGAGGUGAAUUUGUUAAUUUCAGUAACUCUCAACAAGCUAAAAUGAAGAAUUGAACAAUUCUGAUUAACGGAGAAGAAAGAGAUUCUGCAUUGAUAAAAAAUGUGAAUAUACAAGUCUAACUGAAAAGAUGCUUUACAAUGCUUUAUAUUGAAGCAGCUAGCUAUCUAGCUAUCUAGCUAUCUAACUGAAUAACAAAACUCUAACUAACUUUCUACUGUUAAUUAAAAACUAAUCGUCAGCUCACUAACACUAAUCAAUAGUUGUACACUUAACCAGCUGCUCAACAUCCUCCCUCAAGCUAGGUGUAUGAAAAACAUUCUUCAUUCCUAGCUUGGUAAGUAGAUAGUUAUGCUGCAAACAGGUGAGUCCUUUGGUAAGUAUAUCUGCUGGUUGCUCUGUUGUAUUGAAGUACACUGGUUGAACUAUUCCCAUUUGAACUUUCUCCCUGAUGAAAUGACAAUCAAUAUCUAUAUGUUUAGUUCGUUCAUGAAACACUGGAUUGGCAGCUAUCUAUAUAGCUGAUUUGCCGUCACUGUGUAUGUGUAUUGGCAACCUCACUUGAACCCCUAGUUCUUUAAAGAGACCAACCAACCACACAACCUCUGCAACUGUAGAAGCCAAGCUCCUAUACUCAGCUUCAACUUAGCUCCUUGAAAUAGUGUCCUAUUUCUUGGCCUUCCAUGAAAUCAGUGAGUUCCCAUAUGUAACCAUGUAUCCUGUUAUGGACUUCCUAUUGUUUGGGCAUGAUGCCCAAUCUGCAUCACAAUAUGCAGUAAGGUGAUUGUCAGCAGUAGAUGCCAGCAGCUUCAACAGAUGCUUGAGAUAUUACAGGGAUGCAGCCCUCAAAGCAGUGUCAACAUGUCAGGUAAUUCCAACUCUCAUUUGAAGUGGAUCAUAGAUACAGGGGCCUCAGAUCACAUGAUAAAUAAUCAUCAUUAUUUGAUUAAUGAGAACAUAGUAAAUAGUAGAGGGAAGGUGCAGCUACCUACAGGAGAAUCUGCCAUAGUUUCACAUAUUGGAAGUAUACAGCUAAAUGAAUGUGACAUGAUUAGCGAAGUCCUGUGCAUACCAACAUUCAAGUUUAACAUGUUGUCUGUACACAAACUGAAAAAGAGUUAAACUGCUAUGUUUCCUUUUUCCCUACUCACUGUGUUUUUCAGGAUCUCUUGUCUGGGAAGGUCAAGGGGAUUGGUAGAGUAGAAGAUGGAUUGUAUGUGAUGCACUUGUCACGCCCCGAGCCUACACCUUGUCGUGAUAUAGGAAGCUAACUUUAUUAAGUGGAUCCACUAGCUUAACUUUACGGGUUCAUCUAAAAAGUAUGACCCGUUAACUCCCAUGUUGGCUACAUGGUUCUUAUGGAGAGUUGAGUUUAAUAUGAACUCGCGUCCCCAAAUCGGUGCUCGAUACUACUCCCAAAAUACUUUAGCUCAUAAGUGUUUUAAAGACAUCUUUCUUUAAUUGAGAUAAUUACUCAAAAUCUAGCCCAAAGGCUCUUUUGGAAUCAUAGUUCCUUUUUCUUGAAAACUCUUUCUAAAAGACAUCUCAAAAUCAUAUUUUAAUAUGAUCAUUGAUGACUCGGGAUAUUCAUACUGCUUAAACAUUGAUGGUAUAUCUAGAGACCAUACUGUUUAAACAUUGAUGACAUACUCGAUUUGCCAUACUAAUCAUGUUUUAGAAACUCUUUUGCAAAACUCAUCUUUGCUCAAAAGAGAUAGUACUCAAACUUCUCAAAACUUUUUUGGAAAUCUCAGUUUCCUCUCAUCUUAAAUGUGAAAACAUUUAUAAACUUCUUUGGGAAUACUUAGUUCCCUAAUAGCUUUUGAGAAAUGAACUCAACUCUUGACUCUUGACUCUUGACUUAACUCGAAACUCUUGACUUAACUUGAAACUCUAUAUUUAACUUGAAACUUGAGCCUUAAGACAAAGCUAAAACAUUCAAUAACGACUCUUGAAAAGCUUUAACGACAUCGCCUUGACUUGCUUAACUUCUAAGCUUAACUCUUAACUNNNNNNNNNNNNNNNNNNNNNNNNNNNNNNNNNNNNNNNNNNNNNNNNNNNNNNNNNNNNNNNNNNNNNNNNNNNNNNNNNNNNNNNNNNNNNNNNNNNNNNNNNNNNNNNNNNNNNNNNNNNNNNNNNNNNNNNNNNNNNNNNNNNNNNNNNNNNNNNNNNNNNNNNNNNNNNNNNNNNNNNNNNNNNNNNNNNNNNNNNNNNNNNNNNNNNNNNNNNNNNNNNNNNNNNNNNNNNNNNNNNNNNNNNNNNNNNNNNNNNNNNNNNNNNNNNNNNNNNNNNNNNNNNNNNNNNNNNNNNNNNNNNNNNNNNNNNNNNNNNNNNNNNNNNNNNNNNNNNNNNNNNNNNNNNNNNNNNNNNNNNNNNNNNNNNNNNNNNNNNNNNNNNNNNNNNNNNNNNNNNNNNNNNNNNNNNNNNNNNNNNNNNNNNNNNNNNNNNNNNNNNNNNNNNNNNNNNNNNNNNNNNNNNNNNNNNNNNNNNNNNNNNNNNNNNNNNNNNNNNNNNNNNNNNNNNNNNNNNNNNNNNNNNNNNNNNNNNNNNNNNNNNNNNNNNNNNNNNNNNNNNNNNNNNNNNNNNNNNNNNNNNNNNNNNNNNNNNNNNNNNNNNNNNNNNNNNNNNNNNNNNNNNNNNNNNNNNNNNNNNNNNNNNNNNNNNNNNNNNNNNNNNNNNNNNNNNNNNNNNNNNNNNNNNNNNNNNNNNNNNNNNNNNNNNNNNNNNNNNNNNNNNNNNNNNNNNNNNNNNNNNNNNNNNNNNNNNNNNNNNNNNNNNNNNNNNNNNNNNNNNNNNNNNNNNNNNNNNNNNNNNNNNNNNNNNNNNNUUUCCGGACGGAUUCCCUGCCAACUGCCCAACUUCCAAAGGGAAUAACUCACUCAUACGAACUCGGAAUUGAGCAAACUCGGUGGCGUUGGAAAGACCAUUCCACGAGAUUUGUAACCAUAAUUGGAACUACACCUAACUCAUCCUGAGCUAGAAGUUAUGGCUGCUCAAAGUUGGCCCAAAAACUCACCUUUUCCAUACUUAGCCAAAAUUUUCCAGAUUUUUAAAUUCCUUCCAAAAAUAGUUAAUUCCAAUUCAAAGCCUCUUCAUAGCUAUUUCAAAUUGUCAAAUGUUACAACACUGGCCAGUAAAGCAACCAAAUGUGAAGAGCCACACAAUGUCUACAGUUAAGGAGGGAACUACAGAUCCAGGACUUUGGCACAAGAGACUAGGACAUGUUCCUAUGGGAGUACUUAGAAGAAUAAAUGAGUUUAAAACUAGUAAUAGUUUUACUAUUGAUCAUUGUAUUGUUUGUCCACAAGCUAGAUAGACUAAGAUUCCAUUUUCUCAGAGUAGUACCACAGUAGAUAAUAUCUUUGACUUGGUGCAUAUGGAUGUCUGGAGUCCAGACAAAGUGACUACUCACAAUGGUAUGAGAUAUUUUCUCACCCUAGUUGAUGAUAAGUCUAGAUGGACAUGGACCUUCUUGCUUAGUUUGAAGUCUGAUGUAAUUGUUGUAUUGAAACAAUUUUUGGCAAUGAUAAAUAAUCAGUUUGGAAAGUGUGUUAAGGUGUUCAGGUCAGAUAAUGGAGGUGAAUUUUUGAAUUCUAGUUGUUGUGAAUUAUUUGUGUCUCUUGGGAUCAUUCAUCAGAAAUCAUGUCCACACACUCCACAACAAAAUGGAGUUGCAGAAAGGAAGCAUAGACAUUUAUUAGAGACUGCCAAGGCAAUCAAAUUCCAAAGUUAUUUGCCAGAUAGGUUCUGGGGAGAGUGUAUAGAAGUUGCAACCUACAUUAUCAGUAGGAUCCCUCUAUCUGUUCUGAAAAAAAAGUCACCAUAUGAAUUAUUUUAUGGUAAACAACCUUCAUUGUCACACCUCAGGGUGAUAGGUUGUCUUGUUUUUGCUACAGACUUGAACAUGCAUGAUAAAUUUGCACCAAAGGCAAGGAAAGUUGUCUUGCUUGGUUAUGCUACUAGCCAAAAGGGAUAUAAACUACUGGAUAUUGAAUCCAAAAUACAUUUUUAUCAGCAGAGAUGUCAUAUUUCAUGAGGAUGUGUUCCCCUUUCAAACUUCAGGUCUUGGACAAGAAAAGGAUCAAGUUGUUUCAUUGUCUUAUUCACAUGUUGAAGAUUGUGACCUUACACCUUGUGUUGUAUUCAGAAAUACAGUAGAUGCCCUUGAAACUGUAACUCAACAAGCUGUUGUACCUGACUCCUUUUGUCAUGGUUCAAUCAUUGAAUUUGAAGAUCAGGUACCCUUGGUUUCUUCUCCUGAACCAAGCAUUUUACCAACUCAGUUACCUGUUGCUGCCAGAAGAUCUAACAGACCUGCAAAGCCCCCACUCUGGCAUACAGAUUACAUUUUGUCAAAGAACAAAGCUGCAGGUUAUUGCUCCUAUCCUAUUACAGAUGUGCUGGACUACCAAAGCAUCACACUUGCCUACAAAAGCUUUGCACUAAGUUUUCACAAGAGAAGGAACCUGCUUCUUAUCAGGAGGCUAUACAAGAUCCUAGAUGGAUUGCAGCUAUGGAAUGUGAAAUACAAGCAUUAGAAGACAAUCAUACAUGGGAGAUUACUACACUGCCUAAGGAUAAGAGGGCAAUAGGCUGUAAAUAGGUGUACAAGAUCAAAUAUAUGGCUGAUGGGGAAGUUGAUAGGUUCAAAGCAAGGUUGGUAGCCAAGGGUUACAAUCAAAAGGAAGGUUUGGACUAUCAGGAAACUUUUUCUCAUGUUGUAAAAAUGGUGACUGUUAGAUCAGUCAUAGCCUUAGCAGUUGCACAACAUUGGCAAGUACACCAAAUGGAUGUAUUCAAUGUUUUUCUUCAAGGUGAUCUGACUGAAGAAGUUUACAUGGAUUUGCCCUUGGGGUUUGUCCAUCAAAGUGAGAGGGGGACAUGGACAGUAUGCAAGCUUACAAAGUCACUUUAUGGACUUAAACAGGCCAGCAGAUAGUGGAAUAUCAAGUUGACCACAGCCUUAGCUAACUCAGGCUUCCAGCAGAGUCAUUAUGAUUAUUCCUUGUUCACAAAAUAUCAAGGAGAAAAGAUAGUGAUGGUACUUGUUUAUGUUGAUGACCUAUUGAUAACAGGUAAUGAUCACAAGUUGAUCUUGGAAACAAAGAAGAUUCUUCAAGACAACUUUAAGAUUAAAGAUCUAGGUGAGCUGAGAUACUUCCUAGGAAUUGAAUUUGCUAGAAACAGCAAUGAGAUCCUUAUGCAUCAAAGAAAAUAUUGCCUUGAACUGAUUUCAGAUAUGGGGCUAUCUAGUUCAAAGCCUGUAGGUUCUCCUGUUGAGUUGAAUCAGAAACUUACAACUGCAGAAUUUGAUUUACACUUCCCUCCUACUGAUGAGCAGGAUAAGUUGUUGAGUGAGCCUGAAAUUUAUCAGAAAUUGGUUGGUAGAUUGCUUUAUUUGACAAUGACAAGGCCAGACAUUGCAUUUGCAGUGCAACUGCUGAGUCAAUUUAUGCACAGUCCUAAGACAUCCCACAUGAAGGCAGCAUUAAGGGUGGUGAGGUAUGUUAAACAAUCACCAGGCUUAGGGAUACUUAUGGCAUCUACUGCUGACAAUCACUUUACUGCAUAUUGUGAUGCAGAUUGUGUGUGUUAUCUUGUCCAUAGGGACCUGCAUAUAAGUGUAUUGUUGUUGUGAAUGCACUGAUCCUCCUCCAAUAACUGCAUUGACCUUCUUCCUUCCUUUGAAAUUUUCAGGAUAUCCAAUUAGCAAGUAACAAUUCUCCUUCACAUGUCCAGUUGUAUGGCAAUGAUCACAUUUUUUGAGCUUGUUGCAAUCUUCCCUAACAUGUCCUUUCAUAUUACAGAAGUCACAAUAAAGAGACUGAUAAUUCUUCCUUGGAUUCUACCUAUUGUUGAAUUAUUGUGGUCGACUUGUCCUAUUUGUAUACAUUGCCAAAGACUCCAUUCCUUCAUUGAUAUUGCCAACAAUCCCCUUUUGACAUUCAUCCUGUAUGACUAAAGCAUAGGCUUGGUUCACAUUAGGCAAAGUGUGCAUCAUGAGGAUUUGACCUCUUGCUUGUGAAUAGCUAUCAUUCAAGCCCAUCAUGAAUUGAAGUAAACGCUGAUAUUGCAUUUGUUCCACAUACUCCUUAGACUUAGAACAAUCACAACUAGGUGGAGGCAGAAUAAAAUAAUACUCAUCCCACAAGUUUUUCAAUUUUGUGUAAUAAGCAGAAACAGACAAAACUCCCUGUGUAAGCGUAAAUAUACUUCUAUGCAACUGAUACAAUCUCGAUCCAUUGACCUUAUCAAAUCUCUCUUUGAGAUCAAUCCAUACUUGAUGUGCACUAGAGGAAUAAAUGAUUCCACUAAGCAGUUCCUUACUCACGUUAUAUGUAAGCCAAGAGAUGACGAUAGCAUUGCAGCGAUCCCAAAUCUUCUUCAAUUCUCCUUCGAAAUCAAUACGCAGCACAUAUCCAUCGAUAAAUCCUAAUUUGUUCCUUCCAAGCAGUGCGAUCUCCAUUGUUCGACUCCAAAUUAUGUAAUUCUCCAUUCCGGUCAAUUGAAUCCCAAUCGAUAAAGCUCUUGGCACAUCAGAAGAACUCAAGUACAACAGAUGAUUAUGAUCAAGAGUAACUGAGCUUCCAUUAAUGGUGUCUACUGUUGCUCUGCCACUCGAUCCUCCUGCAGAUGCAUCCUCAAUCGCUAUGAAUUAAUUCCUGCAAACUUUGAUACAACAAAGCUGUAAAAUCCUUAGAACUAAGCCCUCGAAAUCGUUCCCAAUUGCUUUGAUACCAUGUUAAUUUCAGUAACUCUCAACAAGCUAAAAUGAAGAAUUGAACAAUUCUGAUUAACGGAGAAGAAAGAGAUUCUGCAUUGAUAAAAAAUGUGAAUAUACAAGUCUAACUGAAAAGAUGCUUUACAAUGCUUUAUAUAGAAGCAGCUAGCUAUCUAACUGAAUAACAAAACUCUAACUAACUUUCUAUUGUUAAUUAAAAACUAAUCGUCAGCUCACUAACACUAAUCAAUAGCUUUACACUUAACCAGCUGCUCAACAGAAUUAACGUGCAAUUUAUCUUUUGCUUUGAGAUCACAAACAAAUGAAUAUAUCUAAUUAAGCAUUUGAGGAAAAUCUUGCUUAUGAAAAGAAUAUACUACUAAUCUACUAUUAGAAGUAGACUAUAUUAUAUAAGUAUUAUAAAGAGUAAUGCUAAAUGGCCAGAAAAUUUGGCAAGAAAUUUAAAAAGUCCAUAAUAUCCUUUUUAUUUUAAAAUAAAUUGAUCUUUUUUCCAUUUUUUAAUUAAAAGGUAUUAAAGUUAAAGGGUAAAAAUAUUCAAAAAAAUAAAAUAACAUAGUAUGAAAUAUGUAAUUUUACCAUUCUGACCAAAUUUUCUGGUCAAAAGGAUUUUUCCUUUUAGAGAUUACGUAUGAUAAAUGGGGUGGAAAUUAAGGUACACCAUUCUUUAAUUAUUUGACUAGCUAGACUAGCAUGCAUGUCAAUUCGGAGUUUUAAUUAUUUAAUUUAGUUUAACUAUAUUUUUUUCCCGAUUUUCUAUGAACAUUAGGGUCCGUCUAACUAGAUUUGCACUGAAAAGUUCCAUGUUGGGAGUAAAAGAAUUCCUAAAAAUAGCGAUUUCAUUUGUGAUAAAACUCAAAUUCGUGACCGUUGGUUAAGAAUAAAGAGCUAGGUAUGUACUCCACUGCAAGUACCUUUAGUAAUUUUAGUUUUAUUUAGUCCAAGAGAGUGGCUCAUUUGAUCUCGAAGUAAUAAAUUAGUAAUAUUUUCCUAUUAUAAGUCAAAGUCGUUCACGCACGCUUCGAUACCAAUGUUAGGUUCAAUGAAAUAUUAAAGUUUAUGCACUUGCUGUGUAGUUAGACUAAUUAAUUAAUAUAUUCAUUAAUUAAUCCCAUUGGCAUAUUGUAAUGACUUUCAAAUCUAAGAAGUAUUGAGAAUGUAUUUAUACGUAUGCAGUUAGUAUAGUAUAGUCAGUCAUAUUAAUUAGUCAUGUUAAUUCAGUUUGAUUGGUUAGUUGUAGUUUGUUAGAACUGUCAGUUUGUUAUUCAGUUAGUCAUGAACUUGUUAGGUGCUAUAAAUACACAUGUACAUGUAUGUAAUCAUUUGCGAAGUCUUAUUCAAAAAUACAGUUUUCUCUCUUCUUCCCUGUAUUGACUUUUCCCUCAUAUGUGAGUUCCUCCAUUGAUGCUAACAUUCAAAGCUUGAGAACCAGUUAUGAAUUGUUGAAAUUAACAUGAUAUCAGAGCCUAUCAUCGAUAUUUCUAGCUUCCUCUGUUUCUCAGCUUUCUAGCAAUUAUUAGCUAUUUUUAGCUUGUUAGUUUCUCUUCGUUUACUUCUUCUACUAAACUCACAAUGUCUGCUACUGCUGCUGCUACGUUACCUGCAAUUGCUACUGCUGGAUCUACUUCCAUUGAUAUGAGUGAUCCUUUUUAUGUACAUCCAUCUGAUAACCCUGGAUCAUUGAUUGUUCCCGUUCCUUUUGAUGGAAUGGGCUAUCGAUCCUGGAGAAGAAGCAUCCUCCGAUCUCUUUCAGUGAAGAACAAAUUGGGAUUUGUUACUGGAGAUUGUAAGAAGCCUGCUGCAAAUUCUUCCCUAUUGCAUCUUUGGUAGAGAUGCGAUGACAUGGUGACGUCUUGGAUUCUGAAUUCUCUUGCCAAAGAGAUUGCAGACAGUGUUGAGUACGUUAACGAUUCAGUUGAAUUGUGGAAAGAGUUGGAGGAUCGUUAUGACCAGGCCAAUGGUGUGAAAUUGUAUCAACUUCAAAAGAAGAUCAAUGACCUGAAUCAAGGCGUGUUGGACAUCACUUCCUACUACACCAAGAUGAAGAAGCUAUGGGAAAAACUCAACAAUUUGAUCGCCAAAGCUCAAUGAACUUGUGCCUGUGUUUGUGGUGCCAAGGAUAGCACACACAAAGCUGAACAAGACAGGCGUCUAAUUCAGUUUUUAAUGGGUCUAAAUGAAGUCUACACUAUCGUCUGAGGCAGUGUUCUUAUGAUGAAUCCCCUGCCCUCAAUGGCACAGGCUUUUUCAAUACUGAUACAUGAAGAGAAACAAAUAGAAUUUAAACCUAGAAGCCAGAUGUUAAUGGACUUUGUCUCUCUUAAUGCAGGUUCUUCUAACCCAAGGAAUUUUAAGACAAGUUAUUCCACAGGGAAUGGCAACCAGAACAAGGGAAACUUUAUCUGUGAAUACUGUAAACGACCAGGACACACUGUUAGCAAAUACUACAAGCUGCAUGGAUAUCCCCCGGACAAUUCUCAGUCCACUAGUACUCAAAAUGCAGGUUACAACAGGAACAAUCAGAGGUACAAUAACUCUAGGCCCAACAAAAACAACAAUAACAACAGGAUUGCAGCAAAUGCUCAUGGGCCUUCUGGUGAUGAAAUGUCUGGGAAGGGUGAAAAUGAUAGCAAAGAAGAACAACCUCUAAGUCUCACUAAGGAAUAAUAUGGACAUGUGAUGAACCUGCUUCAACAUUUCCAAAGCAGUGAGGGCUCCAACAUCCCCAAUCUUGCAAGUGGAGCAGUAAACUUUCCAGGUAUUGUGGUUUGCACCUCUUCUAUAGAUUUUGAGAAACUUUCAUGUAUACAUUUUAAAUCAAAGGCUGACUUGUGGAUUAUAGACUCGGGAGCUUCCAAUCAUAUAACUUUUAACCAAGCCUCAUUAUCAAAUCCUAAGACCCUACCAUACCCUUUACUUGUUUCACUCCCUAAUGGAUACAAAGUGAAAGUAACACAAACUGGUGAUGUAGUACUCACACCUAACAUCAUUUUGCAUAAUGUGUUGUUUGUACCAUCCUUUAAAUAGAAUUUGAUUUCAGUCCAUUCCUUAGUGACAAAUCUCAAAGGUGUUAUGUCUUUUACUGAUGCCUUUUGCUUGUAUCAGGCCCCUUUACUGAAGAGGCCUCAGGUGAUUGGUAGGAGUAGAGAUGGACUCUAUUUUCUAUGUUCAAGAUGCUUGACAACUGACUCCAAGCACUGCUUACCUGGAAAAUCUUUUAAUUCUUUCAAUUCUGAUUCCAGUAGUCUGCAAACUGCUGUAACUGGAAAAUCUUUCAAUUCUUUCAAUUCUAAUUCUAGUAGUAUGGAAACUGUUGUAAUGGAUUCUGUAAACUCCCUUUCAAGUAAUAAAAAUGAGUUACAUUUUGUGAAUUCUUGUUUGUCUCUUGAAACUAAUGAAGAUUUAUUAUGGCACACUAGACUAGGCCAUGUACCUUUUGGUCAAAAUGAGGGCUAUCCCAUCCAUACCAGCCAAAUUUUCCCAGAAACAACCUUUUCUAUACACUGUCUGUCCUAUGGCUAGACAGACCAGGUUACCUUUCCCUCAAAGUACCAAAACCACAAGCAAGAUUUUUGAGCUUCUUAAUGUAGAUUUGUGGGGUCCCUGUCAUGUAUCUACUCAUGAUAAUUAUAAGUAUUUUCUGACUACGGUGGAUGACCAUAGCAGAUCCACAUGGACUCACCUUUUGAGCUGCAAAAGCAAUGCAUUACAGACUAUAAAAGCCUUUGCCACCAUGAUUGAAAACUAGUUUUCUACCUCUCUCAAAAGCAUUAGGAUAGACAAUGGGCUCGAAUUCACUAGUAAUGAAGCACUCUCAUUUUUCCAGUCAAAGGGCAUAAUUCAUCAGAAAACUUGCCCAUACACACCACAGCAAAACAGUGUGGUGGAGAGAAAGCAUAAAUAUCUCCUUGAAACUGCUAGAGCCCUUCUUUUCCAAUCCAAAUUACCUUUAAAAUAUUGGGGGAGUGUGUAUUGACUGCUACACAUCUUAUAAACAGACUUCCUACAUCUUAUAAACAGACUUCCUACAUCUUAUCUGAAUAAUAAAUGCCCUUUUGAAGUCCUAUAUAAGAAACAACCAAACUAUUCUUACCUUAGGAGCUUUGGUUGCCUUUGCUACCCUACUAUUCCUAAGGUGCAUAGAGAUAAGUUUGAACCAAGAACAAACCCCCAUGUUUUUGUAGGAUACCCCUUUGGGACAAAAGGAUACAAGGUACUGUGUCUAACUACCAAAAAGAUACAUGUUUCUAGAGAUGUGGUCUUUCAUGAAAAUGUUUUCCUUUUCGCUUCAUCUUUACACAAAGGCACUUUUCCUUCUGUUUUGAAUUCCAUUCCUUUCAUACAACCACACACUAAUGCAUAUGAUGUUGUAGACUGUGAUACUACUGAUAACAUUUUAUCUCAACCUAUAUCACCACUGCCUAAUAAUAAUGACAUCAUCGAGCCUCCUUUACCUCAGGAAUUGCCUUCCUCUUUGCUCCCAGGACCAGGAGACACAGUUAGACGAUCACAUAGAAACCACCAAGUACCUAAACAUUUAAAUGACUAUUUCUAUUCCUUACCCUCACAUAAAACUAUCAAUACAGCAGCCACUACUCCCACAUUGCAACCUCCCAUCAUGCCACUAAAUGCCAUUUUCUCAAAUAAUAGCCAUGUUGCUCCUGAAACCUUGAGUCUCAAUAAUCAAUUACUUGUUCAAAAUGUAUGUCAUGACAGUGAACCAUAAUCUUAUGAAGAAGCAUCACUUUAUCCUGCUUGGCAAGCUGCUAUGACACAAGAAUUUGAGGCCCUUCACAAUAAUAAAACUUGGGAUCUGGUUCCUUUGCCAGUUGGGAAGAAAACUAUUGGUUGUAAAUGGGUGUACCAAGUCAAACAUAAAGCUGAUGGUAGUGUGGAGAUAUAAGGCACGAUUGGUAGUAAAGGAGUAUACUCAACAAACAGGCAUAGACUAUACUGAGACUUUCUCUCCUGCAGUGAAGAGAGGUUGGGACAUUUUCCAGUUAGAUGUUAAUAAUGCCUUCUUACAUGGAGACCUCGAUGAGGAGGUUUACAUGGACCUACCCCCUGGUCUUGAGGUAACUAGUUCCCCUGCAGUAUGUAAAUUGAACAAGUCACUUUAUGGCUUGAAACAGGCCAGCAGACAGUGGUAUGAGAAACUGUCAGAGGCUCUCUUUUCAAAGGGUUACACCCACUCCAUAAGUGACUAUUCCUUAUUUCUGAAGAAAUCCAAUCAUUCUUCUAUUUUUGUAGCAGUAUAUGUAGACGAUGUGAUCAUCACUGGGACUAAUCCAUCAGAUAUUCUUCAACUCAAGCAGUUCCUUCAUGACACCUUCAAAAUUAAGGAUCUUGGUAAACUUCAUUAUUUUUUAGGUCUGGAGAUAUUGUAUGGAGAGAGAGGUAUCAUAAUGUCCCAAAGGAAGUUUAUCUUAGAUUUACUCAAGGAAUAUGGUUGUCUCCAAUACUCCAGCUUCUCUUCUCUACCUGAUCUAAAUGUUAAACUGAAAGCCAAAGAAGGCAUUGUUCUGUCUGAUCCUACAUUCUAUAGAAAAAGUGUAGGCAAGUUGAAUUUCCUUGUCAACACCAUAUUAGAGAUAGCUUAUGGUGUCCAACAUUUAAGUCAGUUCAUGCAAGAUCCCAGAGAACCCCACAUGCAAGCCACUUAUCACUUACUCAGAUACCUCAAGAAUGAUCCAACCUUAGGGAUCUUUAUGUCUUCAACCCCAGACUACUCAGUUCAUGCCUAUUGUGAUUCGGAUUAGGCAAGAUGUCCUGAUUCUCGAAGGUCUGUCUCUGGUUACAUUGUACUUUUGGGGAAAACACCUAUCAGCUGGAAGUCUAAGAAACAAGAAACUAUUUCCUUAUCUUCAGCAGAUAUCUCACUUUUUUUAUGUUCACAAUUGUAAGGGGACCAAUGUAAGAGAGUGUGAGUAGGAUAUUCAUUUAAAUGGCGGAACCUAACUCAUAUCUCACAUUACCUUAAACAGAGACAUCUAUGGGACAGAGAAUUCAACACCUAAUUCUAACGGUAUACUCCUAUUUCAAUUAAUUUACUCUACUUCUUUUAUUUUAAAAAAUAAGUGUUCAUUUAACUAAUUUUAAAAGGAGACAUUUAGUAUUUGCAGUAACGGUAGAAAUAUCAAAUUAUUAAACCAUACUAUGAAGAUUUAAGAAGAAGGAACUAAAUAUGAUAGGGAUCAUGUCUAUUUUCGAUAACCAGUUUGAAUGAAUCAUGGUGUGACGUAUAGGAGACCGGUGAAACAAUGUAAGAAAAGGAACAUGGACUUCACAUGGUGGUCAUUGACUUAAAAAAAAUUAUUGACAAGACUCUGAGGGAGGUUCUAUAGAGGUGCAUGGAUACCAAAGGCGUUUUCAUUUUAUAUAUCGAAAUAGUUUAUCUUCCUGAAUAAACUGAUUUUUUUAUUUCGAUCCCGAACUAUUCAAAUUUCUUUUAAGCUGUUACAAAUUUUAGAGAUGAGCUCCUAUUAACAUUUUGAAUUUUUUGAUAUCUUAUUCACUCAAAAUAAUUCAUAUUUACGACAUGUAAGAGUUUUAAAAUUUGUGUUAAGCGCUGAAUAUAUAAAGAAUUAUUUGCUUGACUAUUAUUAAUACAAUAAAACAAAAUAGCGGUUGGUGAAAAAAGUGUCGGAAAUGAUAGAUUUUCUUAGGUCUAGGAAAGGGGAAACUGUGAAGAUUUCUGAAAUUCUGUUUGGUAUCAUUUAAAACACGUUAGGGAACCUUUUCUUUUCAAAAGAUUUAUGUCAUUUGGAUUAUGAAAGAAACACCAGUGAGAUCAAACGUGUUUUUAGUAAAUUUAUAGAAUUGGGAGCUAUGCCAAAUAUAUCCCUUCUUGAUUCCUCGUCGUGCUCCUGAGACGUGUAAGAUUAUGAAUUACACCAUCCCCAAAGAACUCGAAGUUGUUUGUGAAUGUUUACGCAAUAGGGGGUGACCCCAAAAAAACAAAUACUCUUUCUGUCUUUCCUUUUACACGCAUAUUAAAAAAUUAUAAAUAAAAAAAUAAUUUUAUUAAUUCAUUUCAAAAAAGAAAUUUAAUUGAUGUUUUCUUAAUUUAGUAAGUUAAACAACUAGUUCAUUUGUCCCUAAUUACUUGUCCGCUUUUCUUUUUUAAGUUAUUCUUAAUUAUUUGUCCAUUUAGACAAAUCAAGAAACGAUAAAAUUGUUUUACCUAUUAUACCCUUAAUUAAUUACUUUGAAAAUGUAGAAUUAUUUGAAUGUUUUAAGUUUUAAUUCAUCCAUUUCAUAAUUAAUAAGGAUAAAUUGAUAAACUUAAUAUGUCAAUAAUUAUUUUCUUAAUAGGUGUGCCAAUUUUAAACAUGGACAAGUAAUUAGGAAUAGAAGAGUAUUUUUACUUCAAAAGUAAAAUAAUCAACUAAUAUGAAAAGUGAGUGUUUAGUUCGGCAUGAUUACCGUGGAAGAAAAUCACAUGCCGGGAUUUUGGAAACAUCUUUAAGUUUCUUAAAGUUAUUUAGGAAGGAAAGUAAACUAUAUUUAGAUGGAUGAGUAAGAACCUCUUUGGAUUGAUUUAAAAAAUAGCUUAAAGUUAAAAACUAAAGGUCAAAUUGAAAUGACUUUUAAGUUAAAAAAUAAAAAGUAGGGGGGGUGGGGAUACUUUUAGUUUUUAACUUAUUUUAAGUUCUUUUUUUUCUUCGCCAAACACUUUCAGAAAAUCAAAUAUUGACUUAAAAGUAGGUUUGACAAACUUUUAAACCAAACCACACCCUCUAAGUCAACUUCAAUUAUUUGUAUAAUAUUCUCUUGUUCAAUAUAAACAAUAAAAAAAAUAUUAAAAACGUGACUGGAUAUUAAUUAAAUAAAAAUUAAUUAAUAUAUUCUUUUUGAUUCUUCUAAAAAAUAUAGAUAAUCAUUAUUUGGAAUUUAAAAAUACUUGAAAACUUUAUAACUAUUAUUUCAAAAAAAAGGGUAAUUCUAAUUUUUUAAAAAAUGAAUAAUACAUUUUUAUUUUUUUAAGAAAAUCAUUCAUGAACUAUAAGAAAAAUGUUAACAAAGUCGGUAUAAUAUUCUCUUUUUACGUUGAAAACUGUCGUCGUUUUGCUCCCUUACACUUUGUUUUAGAUGAUUGUUCUGAAAAAUCGUAUUGUACUGUUUUAAUAAAUACAUUGUUUGAACAGAUUGUAUCGGUCUCUAUUGUAAGAUAAUGUCACAUAUCCAUAAUUUGAAUGAUAAAUCUAUAUAAAUAAAUAAAAAAUGAAUAGAGCUACUAUGAAAAGAUAGGGAUAAAAAAUGAAAUACGACUAUUAAAUAAUAAUUAAUAAAUAAAAAUAAAAUGCAAAGAAAGUAUUUUGGUAACAAUGUGAUUACACCAAAUGGAUCGUUAUAUAAAAUGAGUAUUUUCUUCAUUAGCUAAGAAUGAAUUUUAAUGAUACAAUACAAUUUAAUACAAUACAAGUCAACCAUUAAUGACUUAAACUACUAUACUUAUAUAUGGGUAUGGCAAUAGACAAUCUUCUCAUCAUACUUGCAUGUGUUAUUUGGUAUGUUAUUGUUGUCAAAUAUAUCAGAUUUCUAUCCUCUAUUUGAGGCUCUAGAUCUGCAGGGAUUGAGAAAGCAGACGGAAAUAUAUCAGAGUCAAUUGAUCAAUAUCUGGAGUGAAAUUGUAAAGGAAAAAAGGCAGGCAAUUAGCAGUCAUAGCUCGGAUAUUUUGGAUGUCAUGAUUGAUAGUGGAUUCCCAGAUUUACAGAUCAUGAAUAUCUUAGUGACAGUAAUAUCUCAACUUUUUAGAACCAAUAUACUCUGGUUUCAAAUAGAUGUGAAAUUUUUAGGCAAAACUAAUUGAGGCUGACAUGACACAAUCUUGUUCUUGAAUUUCAGGAAUUAGUGGGUGCGGGUUCUAACACCACAACCUCAACAAUUGAAUGGGCAAUGAUAGAGUUGCUGAGGAACAAGGGUGCUAUGCACAAAUUUCAGGCUGAGCUUACAAGUAAUUUAAGGGAAACUGAUAUAAUCACAGAAUCAAACAUCAGUGAACUUCCAUAUUUGGCUGCUAUUGUCAAGGAGACAUUGAGAAUCCAUUCACCUACUCCCUUCUUGAUUCCUCGUCGUGCUGCUCCUGAGACGUGUAAGANNNNNNNNNNNNNNNNNNNNNNNNNNNNNNNNNNNNNNNNNNNNNNNNNNNNNNNNNNNNNNNNNNNNNNNNNNNNNNNNNNNNNNNNNNNNNNNNNNNNNNNNNNNNNNNNNNNNNNNNNNNNNNNNNNNNNNNNNNNNNNNNNNNNNNNNNNNNNNNNNNNNNNNNNNNNNNNNNNNNNNNNNNNNNNNNNNNNNNNNNNNNNNNNNNNNNNNNNNNNNNNNNNNNNNNNNNNNNNNNNNNNNNNNNNNNNNNNNNNNNNNNNNNNNNNNNNNNNNNNNNNNNNNNNNNNNNNNNNNNNNNNNNNNNNNNNNNNNNNNNNNNNNNNNNNNNNNNNNNNNNNNNNNNNNNNNNNNNNNNNNNNNNNNNNNNNNNNNNNNNNNNNNNNNNNNNNNNNNNNNNNNGUCAGUCCCGCCCAGGGUGUAGGCUCGGGGUGUGACAAUAAAUUUAAUGCUAAAUAGAGUAUAUUAGUAAUGUUUGAUUAAUAAUGCUUGUAUUAAUUAGUAAUGCUUGUAUCAAUUAUAGAUAGAUUAUUUUUAUGCAUUGUUUAAUUAGGUGCAUUAAAAAUAACAUGUAUUGCAUAAAAAAAAUUAUUUACAAAGAUACUCUUCACAAUUAUGGUGGAAAAGAUUAAAAAAAAGUUUUAAGGGGCAAUUGGGUCUUUAACCAUGCUAAUGCAUGCAUUAAAACCAUUGCAUUACUAAUACCUAGAAUCCAUGAUAUUAGUAAUAGUGUAAUACACACUUUAAUACACAAUAGAGUGUAUAACUAAUGUUUAUAUUAGUUAUAAAUAGGUUAGAAAAAAAUACCAAACAAGGUAUUAAUAAAACAUAAAGUAAUAAUUUCUAUUUCUAGCUUUAUUAUUAUAUAUAAAUUUGGCGAUAAAUUAUUGUUCAAUAUUAAAGUCUCACAUUAGUUAAAUGUAUGAGAUUCAGUUUUGUUAUAUGGUGGAGAUGUGAGACAAGUGAUCAAGUUAUUUAUAUGUUAUAUUAAGAAAAUGAAUAGAUUAAAGAAUAUGUAAAAAGACUAUUUUUUUUGUAUUUUAGUUUCUGGCUAAUACACGUAGAGUGUAUUAGGAAAAAUAAUGCAUGCAUUAGCUUUGUGUAUUACUAUAAAUAAUGCUUGCAUAAAUUAAACACUCUAUUGUGUAUUAAGGUGUGCAUUACUAAUACCAUGAAUUUCUAGGUAUUAGUAAUGCAUGCAUUAGCAUUUUAAAGACACAAAUACCCUUCAAAAAUACUUUUACAUAUUUUUCACCAUAAUUAUGGAGGAUAUUUUUGUAAAUAAAUAUUUGUGUGCAAUACAUGCUAUUUUUAAUGCUACCAAACCAAACAAUGUAUAAGAAAUAAUUUAUGUACAACUAAUGCAAGUAUGACUAAUACAAGCAUUAUUAAAGCAAGUAUUUCUUAUACACUUUAUCUAACGACUCCUCCAUAUACAAUAGAGUGUUUAACUUAUGCAAGCAUUAUUUAUAGUAAUACACAAAGCUAAUGCAUGCAUUAUUUUUCCUAAUACACUCUACGUGUAUUAGCCAGAAACUAAAAUACAAAAAAAAUAGUCUUUUUACAUAUUCUUUAAUCUAUUCAUUUUCUUAAUAUAACAUAUAAAUAACUUGAUCACUUGUCUCACAUCUCCACCAUAUAACAAAACUGAAUCUCAUACAUUUAACUAAUGUGAGACUUUAAUAUUGAACAAUAAUUUAUCGCCAAAUUUAUAUAUAAUAAUAAAGCUAGAAAUAUAAAUUCUUACUUUAUGUUUUAUUAAUACCUUGUUUAGUAUUUUUUUUUUCCAACCUAUUUAUAACUAAUGUAAACAUUAGUUAAACACUUUAUUGUGUAUUAAAGUGUGUAUUACACUAUUACUAAUAUCAUGGAUUCUAGGUAUUAGUAAUGCAAUGGUUUUAAUGCAUGCAUUAGCAUGGUUAAAGACCCAAUUGCCCCUUAAAACUUUUUUUUAAUCUUUUCCACCAUAAUUGUGAAGAGUAUCUUUGUAAAUAAUUUUUUUUAUGCAAUACUUGUUAUUUUUAAUGCACCUAAUUAAACAAUGCAUAAAAAUAAUUUAUCUAUAAUUGAUACAAGCAUUACUAAUUAAUACAAGCAUUAUUAAUCAAACAUUACUAAUAUACUCUAUUUAGCAUUAAAUUUAUUGUCACACCCCGAGCCUACACCCUGGGCGGGACUGACACUCGAAGACCAUUGUUGGCCCAAAGCGAACCCUUUGCCUGGCUUACAUAACUUAGCAGAAGACUUAAACUCAACAAAGGUAAGUUCAUAUAGUAAACUGGAAUGUUAUAAAUGAACAUUCAACUGGCCAUUAAGGCAAACUCAAGUCUCAACAUGGAAUAAUGACAAUGAAAAGACUAAACAACUAACAUCUGACUGUCUAUGAAGCCUCUAAUAACAACUGAGAUGGAUGUUGGGACAAACCCCACAACAACCUAAUUAAGUAAACUAGAAAAUAAUGAAAUGGAUCCUCCGAAAUGCAAGGACGCUCACCAAUAGACUCUGAACUGCUUACUGGAUCAAUGAUGCGCCGAAAUGCCAAUCCUAGUUACCUGUGUUUGCAUCAUAAGACGAUGCAGGCCAACUGGCAUCAGUACAUUGAAUGUACGAGUAUGCGAGUUGGAAAGCUAAACAUAACAUAGGCUUGAAAAUGAUCUAAAAGAAACACUUACCUUGGCUCUUCUCAAUUCAUGAAUACUUAACUGAACGCAUUUCAUUAUAAAGUAGUUUAAGACAAGUGCAACAUAAAGAAAAAGAAAACUGUUUAAAACAUGUUGUCAACUCAUAAUCAUAAAAUCAUAAAAAAACAUAACAUGAUCCCUCUGAAAGUCUACUUGUGCAAUGCAUGAAUGAAGUCCCAUACCCCAUCCAUACUAAGCAGAACCCCUUGAGGAACCAUGCAAUUACUGUUGUGGGAGUUUCUCUAACCGACAAGCAACACUUAAAAACUAUAGUGAUGAUACAACGUUAUUAGCCCCACGCUGCCCGGGCCAUCUUAUACCUUGUCGUGGUACAGAACCUGAACUACUAAUUGGAUCCACUAGUCUAUGAGAAAAGGAUUCAUCUAAAAGUAUGACCAUUUUCUACCCAUGAUGGUUACAUGGUUUAUGGAGACUUGAGUUAAUGUGAACUCGCAUCGCCAUAUCCGUGCCCAAUACUACUCCCAAAAAUAUAAUAUAUAUUAGCUUUUAUGUUUAAAAACAUACUUGUUCUGUGAUUUGAGAUUAGUGCUCAAAAACUUAGCUCAAAGGCUAUCUUAGAAAUCAAAGUUUCCCCUCUUGCUUAAUUAUGAAAGCAUUUACUCUUUUCUGAAAAUUAGUCUGAAGGCUCUUUGGAAAUCGAGGUUUCCUUUCUUGUUUAAAUGUGAAAACAUUUUAAACUCUUUGGGAAUACAUGGUCCCCAUAUACUUUUGAAGAAAAUGAACUUCAACUCUUUACUCUUUGCUUAACUUGAAAUUUAAGUCUUAGAACAAAGUUAAAACAUUUGGAAAAGACUUUUGGAAAACUCUAAGAACUUCUCUUGACUUGACUCCUACUUCUUUUGACAUUGAUCCUAACUUUCCUUGAAUAGGAUUAUGGAUUCAAGGUUCAUGAUCUCAUGUUUAUGGAUGAUUUCAUGAUGUUUAGAUAUACCUUAGAGUGUUGGAAUCAACUAGAAAAUAUAUGUACAUUGCUAAGGAACAAGUACGAAAAGAUAGGGAACGAAUGGGGAGAAAUGGCGUCCCUGGAACUUUGAGAGGCGCAGGGCGCCAGCCCUCAACAUUCAGAGACCAAGUUGGGGUGCUCUGGCUGGCACGACGCCCCACCUCCUUCCCCAAGUGCUUGAUGACUUUUCUUCUCCGUUUUACAACUCUAAACCCUCUAAACUUUAAUGGUUUUUUUCCCAAACACUAAGGAUCAUUUAUACCCUCGAUAUAUGAUAGAUUCAAACCGAAAUUACACCCGAAAACAUGAAUCAAAUCGCAAGAAACUUCAACAAAACAACCCAAAAGAAUUCAGACGAAUUUCAUCAAGAACUCGAAGGAUUUACUUUCAAAUCACACAUAUUUCGCUGAAUUUAAUCAUGAUUGGCGCGUGGAUGAACUAACCCAACGCUAUGUGAUCUCACAUACCUUUUUAGGGAUCACCCACGACGAAAUCCACAAGUUAUCCUUGACGAAAUCGACGAAUCUUGCUUCCUCUUUUCCUUUCUCCUCUUUUCUCUUUUCUCCAAGUCCUAGCGUGAACUCUAACUUUUCUAAACUGACCAAAAUCUGGUUUUACCCCAAUUAAUCUCCUAAAAACGAAUUAGAAUAAUUAGGUAAGGAAAAGACUAAAUAACCUUUCUAAAAUCCGAAUUAGACUUUCCUUAAUCCAACAACCCAAGGAGUUAUGGCCAUUUGAAGUUAACCAAAACUCAACUUUUCCUAACUUAAACAAAUUUCCAGAUUUUUAUUCUUUCCAAAAAUGACUAUUUCCAAUUAUUAGCUUUUUCCUAGUUAUUUCAAAUUGCAAGAUGUUACAAUAUCUCCCCCUUGGGAACAUUCCUCCUCGAAUGAGAUUAUUCUUACUAGGCUCAGGGCGUAACAUCAAGUUCAAACACCCAACAAGCAAAUGCAAACAAACAACAUGCUUACCCAUAAAUAAAUACUAAGAAAGGAUUAGUACCUUGAUCUAGAAUUUCUCCGGGUUUGAAGAGAUGUGAAUAUCUCUUCUUCAUACUUUUUCACCAAUAGACUUCUCUCAAGUCACGAUACAUCUUGGUGGAACUCGGAUGAAUGGAAUAUCUGGAGCUUUAAGCUUCUUCCAUGAUCCUCUCUUGGGUUCCAUCCACCAUUGAUACACACAACCUACCUUGAUGUCUCAACACACCAUCUCCCCCUUCUUCAAAAGUUAAUACUUUUUGCUUAUGAACAUUUGCCAUCAAUUCAAGAAAGAUAAGGUCUUGGUCUUUCUCACCUUUUACUUCUGACACUAAUGAUGAUUCAGCCCCAUUCAUCACCACUAUUCCUUCUCUUGUGGAAUCCGUUAGUCGAACUCCUAAUCAUGUAAGUCUAUCCACAUCUUUUGCUAACUAUUUCUUAUCUUCCUCAACAUGGGCGGUACUACCCAUAGACAACCUGCUCAAGGCAUCAGCAAUAACAUUAGCCUUACCUGGGUGAUAAAGAAUACUCAUGUCAUAAUCCUUGAAUAAUUCCAACCACCUUCUUUGUCUGAGAUUAAGCUCUUUCUAGGUGAACACAGAUUGAAGACUAUUGUGAUCAGUGAAUACAUCAACAUGCACACCAUACAAGUACUGACGACAUAUCUUCAAAGCGAAUACUACAGCAGCCAACUCUAAGUCAUGGGUGGGGUAGUUCUUAUCGUGAACUUUCAACUGUCUAGAGGCAUAAGCUAUAACUUUGUCAUUCUGCAUUAAGACACAACCCAACCCAACUCUAGAUGCAUCACAGUACACCACAAAACGUUGAGUACCUUCUAGUAAGGUCAAAACUGGGCAGUAGUCAACCUCUUCUUCAAUUCCUGAAAGCUUUUCUCACAAGCUUCAGACCAUUAAGAUUUCCCUGUCUUCUGAGUUAACUUAGUCAAAUGGGAUGAAAUAGACGAGAACCCCUCUACAAACCUUUUAUAAUAGCCAGCCAAACCCAAGAAACUCAUAAUAUCAGUAGGAGAUGUGGGUCUAGGCCAAUUCUGCACUGCCUCUAUCUUCUGGGUAUCAACUCUAUUUCCAUCUCCGAAAACUAUGUGGCCCAAGAACGCCACAGACUCAAGCCAAAACUCACAUUUUGAGAACUUAACAUACAACACAUUAUCUUUCAAAGUCUGAAGAACUAUUCUGAGAUGGCCAGCAUGAUCUUCUUCAUUUCUUGAAUAAAUUAGUAUGUCAUCAAUGAAGACGAUAACAAACAUAUCUAAGUAAGGUUUGAAGACUCUAUUCAUAAGGUCCACGAACGUUGCUGGUGCAUUGGUCAAACCAAAGGACAUGACCAAAAACUCAUAAUGAUCACAACGGGUCCUGAAUGUUGUCUUGGAAAAAUCACAUUCCCUUACUUUCAACUAAUGGUAGCUAGAUCUGAGGUCAAUCUUAGAAAAACAAGAAGCCCCUUGAAGCUGAUCGAAAAGAUCAUCAAUUCUCGGAGGAGGAUACUUAUUCUUGAUGGUAACUUUGUUCAAUUGACGGUAAUUUAUACACAUCAUAAGGAAACCAUCUUUCUUUCUCACAAACAAGACCGGAGCUCCACAAGGUGAGACACUUGGUCGAAUGAAGCCAUUAUCUAAUAGAUCAUUUAACUGCUCUUUCAACUCCUUCAACUAUGUUGGUGCCAUUCUGUAUGGCGGAAAAGAGAUAGGACGAGUAUCUGGAAGAAUGUAUAUAUCAAAGUCUAUUUCUCACUCAGAAGGGACUCCGGGAAUAUCAUCAAGAAAGACUUCUGGAAACUCUCGUGCUACUAAAACUGACUGAAUAUGAGGUAUCUCAGUACUAGAGUCAUUAACUCGGACUAAGUGAUAGAAACACCCGUUAGAAACUAAUUUCCUUGCCUUAAGGUACGAAAUGAUACGACCCUUAGGCACUGCUGAACUGUUUUUCCACUCUAAGAUUGGCUCAUUUGGAAACUGAAACUUAACUACUCGAGUUCUACAAUCAACUGAGGCAUAACAGGCAUGAAACCAGUCCAUACCAAGAAUGACAUCAAAAUCUACCAUGUCUAACUCAAUUAAAUAAGCCAUGGUGUCUUUGUGAUGGACGGAAAUGACACAAUCACUAUAAACUCGCUCAUCUAGAAUAGACUCUCCAACAGGUGUAGAAACACAGAAGGGUUCACACAGUUUCUCAAGAAUAACAUCAAACUUAUUUGCAACAUAAAGGUUAACAAAAAAUAAACUUGCUCCUGGGUCUAGCAAAGCAUAAACAUCAAAAGUAAAGACUUGGAUUAUACCAGUGACCACAUCUGGAGAAUUCUCUUGCUUUUGUGACUAUUGAUAGCAUACAAUCGGUUUGUUUCCCCGCUAGUACCUGAAGUAGCUGCUCGAGGUGCAACUCUGUCUGAUGGAGCAACUGAAGAAAGUUGGGCCCUAUUGCCCCCUAUUACCAUUACCUUGCAUGUUCUCAGGACACUCCCUCAUAAAAUGACCGUUCUGACCACACUUGAAACAACCAGUAGAGCCCUCACGACAAAUACCUGAGUGGUUUCUGCCACACUUAGCAUAUGCAGGAGGCUUACUACCCCUUUGUGCCAUACUGCCUUGAGAAUAGGCAGGUUAAGCUCUGAAACUCUGGGAAUUCUGACUAUUGUACUCACUUUUGUUCUUAGGUGCAGGUGCACUAGCAGAUAAUGGGGUAGGUCCCUUCUGUUUCUAUUGGAAGGAAAACCAAUUUGCACUACUCUUUUGCUGCCUGAACUUGUUCCCUGAUGUCUUAGCCCUCUUAUUCUUAAACUCUUCUCUAUCCUUCAGCUUAUCCUCCUCAACUUGUUGUACAUGUAUCAUUAGCCUUGCUAUGUCCAUAUCCCCUAUCAAUAUUGCUGCCUUGCCUUCAUUGCUUGACUGACGAGACAAUCCAGCAACAAAUAAACUAAUCUUGUUCUUCAUUUCAACAACAAUCUCCGGGGAAUAGAGGGAAAGUUGUGCGAACUUCAAACUGUACUCAUGAACACUCAUAGACUCCGAAUUAAGGGUAAGAAAUUCUCUUAUCUUUGCCUCUCGCAACUCACGGGGAAAGAAACGUCUCAUGAGAGCACUCUCAAACACAGCCCAACUCAGUAUUGACGCAUCCUCAACCCUAUUCUUUUUCCAUUGGUCGAACCAGACUCUAGCGAUACCCUUCAGUUAGUAUGCAGAUAGUUCCUCCCUCUCAGCAUCAACAACAUACAAUAUCUCAAAAAAAUUCUGAAGUACUUCAACAAAGUUCUCUAAAUCCUCUGUGACACUUGAACCUGUGAAGCAUGGUGGAUUCAUCCCUAAAAACUCAAGGAUUCUUGAAGUAUCAGCCACAUCAUGUCGAUUACUUCUCCGUCCAACUUGAUGAGUCGCAACUUGGCUUAACAUCCGGAUAGUCUCACGGAAUUCAGCAUGGUUAACUUGCCUUUGAGGUUGUACUUCAGGUGCAUUAGGUAACUCCUGCUCAUCAACAUUUCUCCUAGCUGGACGACCUCUAACUGCUCUUCGUGAAGGCAUGAUUAUCUGAAACAUGCGCAAGAACGAAUUAAAGGGAAACCUUUUGGAGACCAAGAUCUAACACACGAAAUGAGUAUGAAAGAAGUGAGAAAUUUUCCUAAAUGUUGCAGCCUAAUAAUUAUAGAUGUGGCUUCACACCGAUAAAUAAGACUCUACAGACACGGCUUCAUAAACUCCCUAGGACUCUUAAACUUUGUGCUUUAAUACCAAGUUUGUCACUCCCCGAGCCUACGCCCUGGGCGGGACUGACACUCGAAGACCAUUGUUGGCUCAAAACGAACCCUUGGCCUGGCUUACUUAACUCAGCGGAAGACUUAAACUCAACAAAGGUAAGUUCAUAUAGUAAACUGGAAUGUUAUAAAUGAACAUUCAACUGGCCAUUAAGGCAAACUCAAGUCUCAACAUGGAAUAAUGACAAUGAAAAGACUAAACAACUAACAUCUGACUGUCUAUGAAGCCUCUAAUAACAACUGAGAUGGAUGUUGCGACAAACCCCACAACAUCCUAAUGAACUAAACUAGAAAACAAUUAAAUGGAUCCUCCGAAAUGCAAGGAGGCUCACCAACAUACUCUGAACUACUCACUGGAUCAACGAUGCGUCGGAAUGCCAAUCCAAGUUACCUAUGUCUGCAUCAUAAGACGAUGCAGGCCAACUGGCAUCAGAACAUUGAAUGUAUGAGUAUGCGAGUUGGAAAGCCAAACAUAACAUAGGCUUGAAAAGGAUCUGAAAGAAACACUUACCUUGGCUUUUCUAGACUCAUGAAUACUUAACUGAACUCAUUUCAUUAUAAAGCAGUUUAAGACAAGUGCAAUAUAAAGAAAAAGAAAACUGUUUAAAACAUGUUGUCAACUCAUAAUCAUAAAAUCAAAAAAAAAACAUAUCAUGAUCCCACUCAAAGUCUACUUGUGCAAUGCAUGAAUGAAGUCUCAUACCCCCAUCCAUACUAAGUAGAACCCCUUGAGAAACCAUGCAAUUACUGCUGUGGGAGUUUCUCUAACCGACAAGCAACACUUAAAAACUAUAGUGAUGAUACAACGUUAUUAGCCCCACGCUGCCCGGGCCAUCCUAUACCUUGUCGUGGUAUAGAACCUGAACUACUAAGUGGAUCCACUAGUCUAUGCGAAAAAGAUUCAUCUAAAAAGUAUGACCCUUUUCUACCCAUGAUGGCUACAUGGUUUAUGGAGACUUGAGUUAAUGUGAACUAGCAUCCCCAUAUCGGUGUUGGAAAUCAAAUUUUCCCCUCUUGCUUAAUUAUGAAAGCAUUUACUCUUUUCUGAAAACUAGUCCGAAGGCUCUUUGGAAAUCGAGGUUUCCUUUCUUGUUUAAAUGUGAAAACAUUUUAAACUCUUUGGAAAUACAUGGUCCCCAUAUACUUUUGAAGAAAAUGAACUUCAACUCUUUACUCUUUGCUUAACUUGAAAUUUAAGUCUUAGAACAAAGUUAAAACAUUUGGAAAAGACUUUUGGAAAACUCUAAGAACUUCUCUUGACUUGAAUCCUACUUCUCUUGAUGUUGAUCCUAACUUUCCUUGAAUUGGACUAUGGAUUUAAGGUUCAUGAUCUCAUGUUUAUGGAUGAUUUCAUGAUAUUUAGAUGUACCUUAGAGUGUUGAAAUCAACUACAAAAUAUAGGUACAUUGCUAAGGAACAAGUACGAAAAGGUAGGGAACGAAUGGGGAGAACUGGCGUCCCUGGCACUCUAAGAGGUGCGGGGCACGAGCCCUCAACAGUCAAAGACCAAGUUGGGGUGCUCUGGCUGGCGUGACGCCCCACCCCAUUCCCCAGGUGCUUGAAGACUUUUCUUCUCCGUUUUUCAACUCUAAACGCUCUAAACUUCAAUGGUUCUUUUCCCAAACACUAAGAAUCAUUUAUACCCUCAAUAUAUGAUAGAUUCAAACCGAAAUUACACCCGGAAACAAGAAUCAAAUCGUAAGAAACUUCAACAAAAUAACGCACAAGAAUUCAAACGAAUUUCAUUAAGAACUCAAAGGAUUUACUUUCAAAUCACACAUAUUUCGCUGAAUUUGAUCAUGAUUGGCGCGUGGGUUAACUAACCCAACGCUAUGUGAUCUCACAUACCUUUUUAGGGAUCACCCCUGACAAAAUCCACAAGCUAUCCUUGACGAAAUCGACGAAUCUUGCUUCCUCUUCUCCUUUCUCCUCUUUACUCUUUUCUCCAAGCCAUAGCGUGAACUCUAACUUUUCUAAACCGACCAAAAUCUGGUUUUACCCCAAUUAAUCUCCUAAAAACGAAUUAGAAUAAUUAGGUUAGGAAAAGACUAAAUAACCCUUCUAAAAUCCGGAAGAGACUUUCCUUAAUCCAACUGCCCAACUUCCAAAAGGCAUAACUUAUUCAUACGAACUCGGAAUCGCGCAAACUAGGCAGCCUUGGAAAGAUCAUUCCAAGAGCUUUCCAGCCAUGUCUGGAAGUACACCUAACUCAUCUUGAUCAAGGAGUUAUGGCCAUUUGAAGUUGACCAAAAUUCAACUUUUCCUAACUUAAACAAAUUUCCAGAUUUUCAUUCUUUCCAAAAAUGACUAUUUCCAAUUAUUAGCUUCUUCCUAGUUAUUUCAAAUUGCGAGAUGUUACAUUUAUAUACUCUACUAACGACUCCUCAUAACUACUCAUCUUCCCCAGAGAAGCUGGUUGCGAAAAAAGAAAGGAAACUACAAAACUGUGAAAUAUUUAAUAAUUUCUUAAAAUAAAUGCACUCUAGCUCUGUCCCGUAUUGGUUUGUUACAUGUACAGUGGUGAGACUGAGACUGUUUCAUUCUUAAUCAGUUGUAUUGGCUUUGAAUCCUAGAUAUAGAGAAAAAUAUGUUGAAAGUGUCACCCCAAAUGGACCCUGCAAUGCGCAAAUCAAAUUUAACCAAAAUUCUAAUGCGAAUUCUGAAUCGAGUGAAAAAAUUAAUAAUACUAUCAACGAUGCUUAUUCCUUAUGAAAUGGGGGCAUUAUUUUCUUUUUUUAAACGAGCAAUCUAUUUAAAAUGAGAACAAUAAUGUUAAACGUGAGUUUAAUUCGUCUGAACUCUAUUGAACAUAUUAUAUACAUACAAUAUUCACACUAGCCGAAAUUAGCGAAUACAAGCAAAAUUAUCAGCACUUUUUUAAAAAUAUUUUUUUAGAAAAGUGCUUUUUCAAAAAACUAAAUACUCUUUCUGUCUUUCAUUUUACACGAAUAUUAAAAAUUUUAAAUAACAAAAUAAUUUUAUUAAUUUAUUUCUAAAAAGAAAUUUAAUUGAUGUUUUCUUAAUUUAGUAAGUUAAACAACUAGUCCAUUUGUCCCUACUUACUUGUCCACUUUUCUAUUUUAAGUUAUUCUUAAUUAUUUGUCCAUUUAGACAAAUCAAGAAAGGACAAAUUUGUUUUACCUAUUAUACCCUUAAUUAAUUACUUUGAAAAUAUAGAUUAUUUUGAAUGUUUUAAGUUUUAAUUCAUCCAUUUCAUAAUUAAUAAGGAUAAAUUGAUAAACUUACUAUGUCAAUAAUUGGUUUCUUAAUAGGUGUGUUAAUUUUAAAAAUGGACAAGUAAUUAGGGAUAGAAAGAGUAUUUUUACUUCAAAAGUAAAAUAAUCAACUAAUAUGAAAAAUGAGUGUUUAGUUCGGCGUGAUUAAGCCGUGGAAGAAAAUCACAUGCCGGGAUUUUGGAAAUAUCUUUAAGUUUCUUAAAGUUAUUUAGGAAGAAAAGUAAACUAUAUUUAGAUGGAUGAGUAAGAGCCUCUUUGGAUUGAUUUAAAAAAUAGGUUAAAGUUAAAAAUUAAAGGUCAAAUUGAAAUGACUUUUAAGUUAAAAAAUAAGUAGGGGGGUGGGGAUACUUUUAGUUUUUAACUUAUUUUAAGUUCUUUUUUUUCUUCGCGAAACACUUUCAGAAAAUCAAAUAUUGACUUCAAAGUAGGUUUGACAAACUUUUAAACCAAACCACACCAUCUAAGUCAACUUGAAUUAUUUGUAUAAUAUUCUCUUGUUCAAUAUAUAUAAACAAUAAACAUUAAAAACGUGACUGGAUAUUAAUUAAAUAAAAAUUAAUCAAUAUAUUCUUUUUGAUUCUUCUAAAAAAUAUAGAUAAUUAUUAUUUGGAAUUUAAAAAUAUUUGAAAACUUUAAAACUAUUAUUUAAAAAAAAAGGUAAUUCUAAUAAAAAAAUAAUGAAUAAUACAUUUUAAUUUUUUAAGAAAAUCAUUCAUGAACUAUAAGAAAAGUGUUAAUAAAGUCGGUAUAGUAUUCUUUUUUUACCUUGAAAACUGUCGUCGUUUUGCUCCAUUACACUUUGUUUUAGAUGAUUGUACUGAAAAAUCGUAUUGUACUGUUUUAAUAAAUACAUUGUUUGAACAGAUUGUAUCGGUCUCUAUUGUAAGAUAAUGUCACAUAUCCAUAAUUUGAAUGAUAAAUCUAUAAAAUAAAAUAAAAAGAUAAUGAAUAGAGCUACUAUGAAAAGAUAUGGAUAAAAAAUGAAAUACAACUAUUAAAUAAUAAUUAAUAAAUAAAUAAAAAAUGCAAAGAAAGUAUUUUGGUAACAAAGCGAUUACACCAAAUGGAUCGUUAUAUAAAAUGAGUAUUUUCAUCAUUAGCUAAGAAUGAAUUUUAAUUAUACAAUACAAUUUAAUACAAUACAAGUCAACCAUUAAUGACUUAAACUACUAUACUUAGAUAUGGGUAUGGCAAUAGACAAUCUUCUCAUCAUACUUGCAUAAGUUAUUUGGUAUUUUAUUGUUGUCAAAUAUAUCAGAUUUCUAUCCUCUAUUUGAGGCUCUGGAUCUGCAGGGAUUGAGAAAGCAGACGGAAAUAUAUCAGAGUCAAUUGAUCAAUAUCUGGAGUGAAAUUGUAAAGGAAAAAGGCAGGCAAUUAAACGUCAUAGCUCGAAUUUUUUGAAUGUCAUGAUUGAUAGUGGAUUCUCAGAUUUACAGAUCAAUAUCUUAGUGAUAGUAAUAUCUCAACUUUUUAAAAUCAGUAUACUCUGGUUUCAAAUAGAUGUGAAUUUUUUAGGCAAAACCAAUUGAGGUUGACAUGACACAAUCUUGUUCUUGAAUUUCAGGAAUUAGUGGGUGCGGGUUCUAACACCACAACCUCAACAAUUGAAUGGGCAAUGAUAGAGUUGCUGAGGAACAAGGGUGCUAUGCACAAAUUUCAGGCUGAGCUUACAAGUAAAUUCAGGGAAAAUGAUAUAAUAACAGAAUCAAACAUCAGUGAACUUCCAUAUUUGGCUGCUAUUGUCAAGGAGACAUUGAGAAUCCAUUCACCUACUCCCUUCUUGAUUCCUCGUCGUCGUGCUCCUGAGACGUGUAAGAUUAUGAAUUAUACCAUCCCAAAUAACUCGAAGUUGUUUGUCAAUGUUUACACAAUAGGGCGUGACUCCAACUUAUGGGAAGAUUUUAAGUUCAUACCAUUUGGUGCAGGGAGGAGAAUAUGCCCUGGCUUAGGUUUUGCUCGACAAGAAAUUCACUUGAUUUUAGCUUGUUUGAUCCAUUACUUUGAGUGGUCAAUUCCUAAUGGUGAGGAUCCAAUGCAGUUAGAUAUGGAAGAAAAAGUUUGGGUGUUACUCUACAGAAAGAAAAGCCUCUACUCAUUGUCCCUAUGUAAUGUGUAUAUCUUUUUUGUUCUACACAUGCAACAUGUAGUACCUUCACUUACAAAUAAAAACUAUACUAUUAUGUUCCAAAGCUAUCUUAUUUUUUAGAAUGGAAUUAGUUUUUGCAUUGUUAUGAUAUGGGUAUGGGUAGGGUCAGAAAAAAAAAUUAAAGAAUGAAGUAGAGUUUCAGAAAUGUUUUCCUCAAUUAUUGAAGGGAAGUCAUUUUCCUUAAAUUUGAGGAAAAUGAGAUAAUUUGGAAAACAUUUUUCAAACAUGAAAAAAUUGGCCAUACCAAACACACCAUUUAUUUAUCAACAUUUUCAUAAAUUGACAACUCUGUUGGUAAGGUGAGAAAAGAUAAAUGGUUUUUGGAUUCUUCAUUACGAAAAUUAUUGGUGAGGUGAUUCAGUACACACGUAUGUAUUUUACUAUUUUUUAUUCUUUAUUUUUUGUCGUCAUUUUAGUGAUGAUAUUAUCAAUGAAGAUGACUAGAUACUUAAUUGAUAUGAGUUUAUUUGUUUUGUAUUUAGAUUUUUUUAUUACAUGUGCAAUUUAAUUUUGAUUAAGACUUAUUUUAUCAAGACCAAGAAGAGUUGGUCGAAAUUGGACAAAGUUUCUAAUUAUUCAAUCGUUUUUUAAAUAAUUUAUUGUUGAGUUUUGAAUAUAUUUGUUUUGAUGUUACAGUUUUAAUUCAUUGAAUCCAAAUAGGUUUUCCACAAAAUUUUAAAAUCCCCCCCCCCCCCCUCCCCAGAAUCAAGUAGGAUUAACAAAGAAACUAAUUAAGUGUCCAUCAUACUUAUUGAUAGUGAAGAUGCGCAACUCCAAUUUCUAAAACUGUGUAUAUGACAUAAGUUUAAGAAUGGUAUUAUAGAAUCCUAUUGAUAAACUAUUGCCUACGUAGCAAUAGAUGAGUGACUAUAAAAUAUGAAGUCUUGUACAUUACCGGGUCGUUUGGUAGAGUGAAUAAGAAUAAUGUUAAAUAGAGUGUAUUAGUAAUGCUUGCAAGUAUUAACAAAAAUAAUGCUUGCAUGCAUUAGCUUUGUUUAUUAGUAAUAUCUUGUUUGAUACUUUUUUUCAUACUAUGUAUAACUAAUGCAAACAGUAAUUAUACACUCUAUUGUGUAUUGGGGAGUGUAUUACUAAUACCAUGAAUUUCUAGGUAUUAGUAAUGCAUGCAUUAGCAUUUUAAAGACACAAAUACCCUUCAAAAAUACUUUUACAUCUUUUUCACCAUAAUUAUGGAGGAUAUUUUUAUAAAUAAAUAUUUGUGUGCAAUACAUGCUAUUUUUAAUGCUACCAAACCAAACAAUGUAUAAGAAAUAAUUUAUGUACAACUAAUGCAAGUAUAACUAAUACAAGCAUUAUUAAUGCAGGUAUUUCUUAUACACUCUAUUGAGCAUUAUUUUUAUACACUCUAUCAAACGACUCCUGCAUGUAUUAGUUAUGUUUGCAUUAAUUAUACAUAGAUUAUUUUAAUGCUUUGUUUGGUUUAAUGCAUUAAAAAUAGUAUGUAUUGCAUUAAAAAGAUUAUUUACAAAGAUACCCUCCACUUUAUCGUGGAAAAGAUGUAAAAAAGGUUUUGAGGGACAAUUGAGUCUUUUGUCAUGUUAAUGCAUGCAUUGAAAUCAGUGCAUUGCUAAUACCUAGAAAUUCAUGGUAUUAGUAAUGCACACCUUAAUACACAAUAGAGUGUUUAAUUUAUGCAAGCAUUAUUUAUAGUAAUACACAAAGCUAAUACAUGCAUUAUUUUUCCUGAUACACUACGUGUAUUAGCCAGAAGUUGAAAUACAAAAAAAAAUAGUCUUUUUACAUAUUCUUUAAUCUAUUCAUUUUCUUAAUAUAACAUAUAAAUAUCUUGAUCACUUCUCUCACAUCUCCACCAUAUAACAAAACUGAAUCUCAUACAUUUAACUAAUGCGAGACUUUAAUAUUGAACAAUAAUUUAUCGCCAAAUUUAUAUAUAAUAAUAAAGCUAGAAAUAGAAAUUAUUACUUUAUGUUUUAUUAAUACCUUGUUUGGUAUUUUUUUUUCUAACCUAUUUAUAACUAAUGUAAACAUUAGUUAUACACUCUAUUGUGUAUUAAAGUGUGUAUUACACUAUUACUAAUAUCAUGGAUUCUAGGUAUUAGUAAUGAUGUGGUUUUAAUGCAUGCAUUAGCAUGAUUAAAGACCCAAUUGCCCCUUAAAACUUUUUUUUUCAUCUUUUCCACCAUAAUUGUGAAUAGUAUCUUUGUAAAUAAAUUUUUUUAUGCAAUACAUGUUAUUUUUAAUGCACCUAAUCAAACAAUGCAUAAAAAUAAUCUAUCUAUAAUUGAUACAAGCAUUACUAAUUAAUACAAGCAUUAUUAAUCAAACAUUACUAAUAUACUCUAUUUAGCAUUAUAUUUAUAUACUCUACUAACGACUCCUCAUAACUACUCAUUCGCCCCAUAGAAGCUGGUUGCGAAAAAAGAAAGGAAACUACAAAACUGUGAAAUAUUUAAUAAUUUCUUAAAAUAAAUGCUCUAGCUCCGUCCCGUAUUGGUUUGUUACAUGUACAGUGGUGAAACUGAGACUAUUUCAUUCUUAAUCAAAUGUAUUGGCUUUGAAUCUUAAAUAUAGAGAAAAAUUUGUUGAAAGUGUCACCCCAAAUGGACCCUGCAAUGCACAAAUCAAAUUUAACCAAAACUCUAAUGCGAGCACCGAUUGAAAAAAAAAAUACUGUCAACGAUGCUCAUUCCUUAUGAAAUGGGAGCAUUAUUUUCUUUUUUAAAUGAGCAAUCUAUUUAAAAUGAGAAAAAUAAUGUUAAACGUGAGUUUGACCUGUUCACUUUAACAGUUCUUAGCUUUUUUUUCUUCAAAUUAUUUAUAGGUUUGCCAAUUAAGAAUUAAGGAGAUUAAGCGCUACAAAAAUAUUGUGUCUGUUUUUUUUUAAUUCGUCUAAACUCUAUUGAUCAUAUUAUAUACAUACAAUAUUCGCACUAGCCGAAAAUAGCGAAUACAAGCAAAAUUAUCAGCGCUUUUUUAAAAAUAUUGUUUUAGAAAAGUGUUUUUUCAAAAAAAUAAAUAUUCUUUCUGUCUUUCAUUUUACACGCAUAUUAAAAAUUAUAAAUAAGAAAAUAAUUUUAUUAAUUCAUUUCUAAAAAGAAAUUAGAAAUUUUAAAAAUAAAUGUGAAUAUUUUUUUAAAAAUAAUUGUAGAGGUAAUAUAGGUAAAUUUUAAUUGAUGUUUUCUUAAUUUAGUAAGUUAAACAACUAGUCUAUUUGUCCCUAAUUACCUGUCCACUUUUCUUUUUUAAGUUAUUCUUAAUUAUUUGUCCAUUUAGACAAAUCAAGAAAGGACAAAUUUGUUUUACCUAUUAUACCCUUAAUUAAUUACUUUGAAAAUGUAGAAUUUUUUGAAUGUUUUAACUUUUAAUUCAUCCAUUUCAUAAUUAAUAAGGAUAAAUUGGUAAAUUUAUUAUGUCAAUAAUUAUUUUCUUAAUAGGUGUGCCAAUUUUUAAAAUGGACAAGUAAUUAAGGAUAGAAAGAGUAUUUUUACUUCAAAAGUAAAAUAAUCAACUAAUAUGAAAAAUGAGUGUUUAGUUCAGCGUGAUUAAGCCGUGGAAGAAAAUCACAUGCCGGGAUUUUGGAAAUAUCCUUAAGUUUCUUAAAGUUCUUUAGGAAGAAAAGUAAACUAUAUUUAGAUGGAUGAGUAAGAGCCUCUUUGGAUUGAUUUAAAAAAUAGCUUAAAGUUAAAGGUCAAAUUGAAAUGACUUUUAAGUCAAAAAAUAAAAAGUAGCGGAGGUGGAGCUACUUUUAGUUUUUAACUUAUUUUAAGUUCUUUUUUUUCUUCGCCAAACACUUUCAGAAAAUCAAAUAUUGACUUAAAAGUAGGUUUGACAAACUUUUAAACCAAACUACACUCUCUAAGUCAACUUGAAUUAUUUGUAUAAUAUUCUCUUGUUCAAUAUAAACAAUAAACAAAAUAUUAAAAAUGUGACUGGAUAUUAUUAAAUAAAAAUUAAUCAAUAUAUUAUUUUUGAUUCUUCUAAAAAAUAUAGAUAAUUAUUAUUUGGAAAUUAAAAAUACUUGAAAACUUUAUAACUAUUAUUUAAAAAAAAGGGUAAUUCUAAUAAAAAAAACAAUGAAUAAUACAUUUUUAUUUUUUUAAGAAAAUCAUUCAUGAACUAUAAGAAAAGUGUUAAUAAAGUUGGUAUAAUAUUCUUUUUUUACCUUGAAAACUCUAGUCGUUUUGCUCCCUUACACUUUGUUUUAGAUGAUUGUACUGAAAAAUCGUAUUGUAAUGUUUUAAUAAAUACAUUGUUUGAACAUAUUGUAUCGGUCUCUAUCGUAAAAUAAUGUCACAUAUCCAUAAUUUGAAUGAUAAAUCUAUAAAUAAAAUAAAAAAAGAUAAUGAAUAGAGCUACUAUGAAAAGAUAAGGAUAAAAAAUGAAAUACAACUAUUAAAUAAUAAUUAAUAAAUAAAAACAAAAUGCAAAGAAAGUAUUUUGGUAACAAUGCGAUUAGACCAAAUGAAUCGUGAUAUAAAAUGAGUAUUUUCGUCAUUAGCUAAGAAUGAAUUUUAAUGAUACAAUACAAAUUAACACAAUACAAGUAAACCAUUAAUGACUUAAAUUACUAUACUUAUAUAUGGGUAUGGCAAUAGACAAUCUUCUCAUCAUACUUGCAUGUGUUAUUUGGUAUGUUAUUGUUGUCAAUGGAGUAUUAUACGCUGCCAGCAUCCUUUCUUUUCUUGAUUUCAUUCUUCUUCCUCAUCCUUAAACAACUCACACAAAAAUCUCGAAACCUUCCACCAGGUCCUCGACCAUGGCCUGUGUUAGGAAAAAUUCUCCAAAUGGGGAAAAACCCUCAUAUUUCCCUGGCACAAUUUGCCAAAAUGUAUGGCCCAUUGAUUUCUGUCAAGUUGGGAACUCAACUGGUUGUGGUAGCUUCAUCCCCUGCUUCUGCAGCUGAAAUCCUCAAGACUCAAGAUCGUCUGCUAUCGGUCCGAUCUGUGCCCAAAGUUGCUAUAUAUGAACUCUCUGUUAUUGAUCAACACUCAAUUGUUUUUUCCAGUGAUUUGAGCAAUCACUGGAAGUUCUUGCGGGCAUUUUGUCGAACACAUUUGUUCUCACCCAAAGCGGUCGAGUCACAGACUACUCUGAGGGAGAAAAAAAUGUGGGAAAUGAUAGAGUUUCUUAGGUCUAGGAAAGGGGAAACUGUGAAGAUUUCUGAAAUUCUGUUUGGUACCAUUUUAAACACGUUAGGGAACCUUUUCUUUUCAAAAGAUUUAUGUCAUUUGGAUUAUGAAAGAAACACCAGUGAGAUCAAAUGUGUUUUUAGAAAAUUUAUAGAAUUGGGAGCUAUGCCAAAUAUAUCAGAUUUCUAUCCUUUAUUUGAGGCUCUGGAUCUGCAGGGAUUGAGAAAGCAGACGGAAAUAUAUCAGAGUCGAUUGAUCAACAUCUGGAGUGAAAUUGUCAAGGAAAAAAGGCAUGCAAUUAGCCGUCAUAGCUCGGAUUUUUUGGAUGUCAUGAUUGAUAGUGGAUUCUCAGAUUUACAGAUCAAUAUCUUAUUGACAGUAAUUUAUUUAUCACCUCUAAAUCAAUUUCUUAAAACUAAUAGACAAAUUUGAUGAAAUAGGCGUGAGUUUUGUUUUUAAAAGAUGAUUGAGAUGGACAUGACACAAUUCUGUUCUUCAAUCUCAGGAAUUAAUAGGUGCGGGUUCUGACACCACUACCGCAACAACUGAAUGGGCAAUGACAGAGUUGCUAAGGAACAAGGGCGCUAUGCACAAACUUCAGGCUGAGCUUACAAGUCAAUUCGGGGAAAAUGAUAUUAUCACAGAAUCAAACAUCACUGAACUUCCAUAUUUGGCUGCUUGUGUUAAGGAGACAUUGAGACUCCAUUCGCCUACUCCCUUCUUGAUUCCUCGUCGUGCAUCUGAGACAUGUAAGAUUAUGGAUUACACCAUCCCAAAAAACUCGAAAUUGUUUGUGAACGCUUGGGCAAUAGGGCGUGACUCCAACACUUGGGAAGAUGCAUUAUCUUUCAAGCCUGAGCGAUUUCUAGACUCUAAUGUGGACUUCAGGGGUCAAGAUUUUGGGCUCAUACCAUUUGGUGCAGGGAGGAGAAUAUGCCCUGGCUUAGGUUUUGCUAGACAAGAAAUUCACUUAAUUUUAGCUAGUUUGAUCCAUUACUUUGAAUGGUCACUUCCUAAUGGUGAGGAUCCAAUGCAGUUAGAUAUGGAAGACAAGUUUGGUGUUACUCUACAGAAAGAAAAGCCUCUACUCAUUGUUCCUAUGUAAUAUGAGUAUUUUUUUUAUAGUCUAUAUCCAAGAUAUAAUGUCACUUGGAGUACAAAAUAAAUGAUUUAUUGUGCGACAAGUAAAAUCGUAAAAAUAUUAAGUAUAACUUGUGUCUUUGGGGUAUAAAGAUUUUUCGCAAAAGUCGUGACAGUAUUGUAUGGAGAUGUGUUCUCCUAUGGUGGAUACAAUGAAAUUUCUUUUAGUUUGACAAUAUAUGAAAAACUUGAAUAAGAUAAUAAAUGAUUAUUAUAUGUAGCUAGACAGUACACAUUAUAUGAAAAUCCUUGAAUGAUUUAAAAUGUUAUAAAACUAUUCGAUUGAAUAGUACCCCUAUGAUUGUGAGAUCAUUUUAUAUAAAUAAAGAUUAAUUUCAGUCACAUUAGAAUGAAACGAAAAUAUAAUUUUACUGCAAUUGGUGCACUUAUGUAUCAUGAAAAUAUUAGAGUGAAACAAAUAUUGAUACAAAUUAUUUAUUUUGAUCAAUCAUGUCAAGGUUUAUUGAUUAUGAAAUUUGAUCUCUAGAAAGUUGUAUGUCUUCAUGUGGAAAUAUUGUCAUAUCAAAUCAUUUCACAAGCCAAUCAAUUUUAUAUAUCGAAAUAGUUCAUCUUCCUCACUGACUAAUUUUUUUUAUAAAUAUCGAUAUUGUAUAAAUAGUUAUGUUAGGUAUAUAUAAUGUACAUAUGCAUUCAUAUAUAUUUUUAUAUAUAUAUCGAAAUAGUUCAUCUUCCUCAACAAACUAAUUUUCUUAUUUAGAUCCCGAACUAUUCGAAUUUCUUUUAAGCUGUUACAACUUUUAGAGAUGAGCUCCUAUUAAUAUUUUAAAUUUUUUGAUAUCUUAUUCACUCAAAAUAAUUCACAUUUACUACAUGUCUGAGUUUUAAAAUUUGUGUUAAGCGCUGAAUAUAUAAAGAAUUUUUUGCUUGACUAUUAUUAAUACAAUAAAACAAAAUAGCGGUUGGUGAGUAUGACAAGUUGGAAUAUUUUGGUGUUUUAUAUAUGUCUAUUGGCCAAUUAUGAAAUAUCUUCUCAUUAUACUUGUGUUGAUUUAAUGGAGUAUUAUAUGCUGCAAGCAUCCCUUCUUUUCUUGAUUCCAUUCUUCUUCCUCAUCGUUAAACAACUCAUACCAAAAUCUGGAAAUCUUCCACCAGGUCCUCGACCAUGGCCUGUGUUAGGAAAUAUUCUCCAACUGGGAAAAAACCCCCAUAUUUCACUGGCAAAAUUUGCCGAAAUUCAUGGGCCAUUGAUUUCUGUCAAGCUGGGAACUCAACUGGUUGUGGUAGCUUCGUCCCCUCAUUCUGCAGCUGAAAUCCUUAAGACUCAAGAUCGUCUUCUCUCAGCCCGGUCUCCGCCCAGUGUUGUUCCAUAUGAACUAUCUGUUAUUGAUCAACACUCAAUUGUCUUUUCUAGUGAUUUGGGCAAUCACUGGAAGUUCUUGCGGGCAUUUUGUCGAACACAUUUGUUCUCACCCAAAGCGGUAGAGUCACAGGCUGCUCUGAGGGAUAAAAAAGUGUCGGAAAUGAUACAUUUUCUUAGGUCUAAGAAAGGGGAAACUGUGAAGAUUUCUGAAAUUCUGUUUGGUACCAUUUUAAACACGUUAGGGAACCUUUUCUUUUCAAAAGAUUUAGUAUGUGGUUUGGAUUAUGAAAGAAACCCCAGUGGGAUCAAACGUGUUUUUAGAAAAUAUAUAGAAUUGGGAGCUAUGCCAAAUAUAUCAGAUUUCUAUCCUUUAUUUGAGGCUCUGGAUCUGCAGGGAUUGAGAAAGCAGACGGAAAUAUAUCAGAGUCGAUUGAUCAACAUCUGGAGUGAAAUUGUCAAGGAAAAAAGGCAGGCAAUUAGCCGUCAUAGCUCGGAUUUUUUGGAUGUUAUGAUUGAUAGUGGAUUCUCAGAUUUACAGAUCAAUAUCUUAGUGACAGUAAUAUCUCUUUUUUUUUUAGAACCAAUUUACUUUGGUUUCAAAUAGAAGAGUUGAUUUCUCAGACGGUGACUCAAUUAAUAGUUAUUGUCUCAAAAUGAUAACACUAUUAGUUAAGUGACAAUCUAAGGAAUCAACCCAACAAAAUUUGAUGUGAAAUUUUUAGUCAAAAUUAAUUUGAGGCUGACAUGACGCAAUCUUGUUCUUAAAUUUCAGGAAUUAAUGGGUGCGGGUUCUGACACCACAACCUCAACAAUUGAAUGGGCAAUGACAGAGUUGCUAAGGAACAACGGCGCUAUGCACAAACUUCAGGCUGAGCUUACAAGUAAAUUUGGGGAAAAUGAUACUAUCACAGAAUCAAACAUCAGUGAACUUCCAUAUUUGGCUGCUUGUGUCAAGGAGACAUUGAGACUCCAUUCGCCUACUCCCUUCUUGAUUCCUCGUCGUGCUCCUGAGACGUGUAAGAUUAUGAAUUACACCAUCCCAAAGAACUCGAAGUUGUUUGUGAAUGCUUACGCAAUUGGGCGUGACUCCAACACAUGGGAAGAUGCAUUAUCUUUCAAGCCAGAGCGAUUUCUUGACUCCAAGGUGGACUUCAGGGGUCAAGAUUUUGAGUUCAUACCAUUUGGUGCAGGGAGGAGAAUAUGCCCUGGCUUAGGUUUUGCUAUACAAGAAGUUCACUUGAUUUUAGCUAGUUUGAUCCAUCAUUUUAAGUGGUCACUACCCAAUGAUGAGGAUCCAAUGCAGUUAGAUAUGGAAGAAAAGUUUGGUGUUACUCUACAGAAAGAAAAGCCUCUAUUUAUUGUCCCUAUGUAAUAUGCCUCCAUAUGCAACAUGUACCUUCACUUACAAAUAAAAACUGUACUAUUAUGCUCCAAAGCUAUCUUAUUUUUU